AACUUUUACUAUAACUAACGCAUCAUGAUAUGACAUAUUUUUUUAAGGGGCAAUUGCUUAUAUACUUUUGAAAAAUUUUCAACUUUUUGAUUUAUCCCUCUUAAAAGGAUAAUAUUGAAAAUGCCCUUUUUACGUUCCAAUCUAUUUCUAAUAUACCCUAGAGUUAAUAUCUGUUAAUGAACUCUAUUAUCUCUAUGAAAUUACUAUUUUGUCAUUUCAAAUAUACCCUUCUACCGAUUUUUCUUAUUUGUUCUUAAGUUAGGAAUACAAAAAGUAUUUUACUUUUUGGUCUUUUCAAAUAUACUCUUUUACCAUAACCAACAUUUCUUAUUUGCCCUUAAGUUAAUAGCAAAAGUGGUAUUUUAUUUUUUUUUUAACUAUGAUAGAUAUUUAACUCACGUUUAACCCAAGUUAAUUUAACGGGUGGUAACUAUAGAGAUAUUUUGGAAUAACGGAGGAACAUAUGAGGGGUAUAUUGGAAAGAAAAAAAAAUAAGGGUAAAUGAGAUAUUUUUGAAGUUUUGAGAGGUAUAUAGGCAAUUAUCUAUUUUUUAAAAAUUUAACAAUACUUAAAAAUAUUUCGAUAUGAUUUAGCGUUACAUUUGAGAGCGUCGGUUAAAACGUCGGCAAAUAAAAAGUGACCACGUAAUUGCUUUAAAGUGUGAGAAUUUUUUUGAAAUCCAGACGCCUUAAAACAUAGGACAAUUAAAAAUAAUAGGAAACUUUAUCAUUUAACAAAUUGGUUUGAUACAAUGGAUUUAAAUGAUGAUAUUUUAUGAAUCGUCAAUAUUUACUAUAUUGUAAGGACACUUGGAAUAUUUUUCUCAAGCACUAUCUAAAAAGUGUUCUUAUAUUGAGGUUUUUUUUUGUGUCCAUAACAUAAUAUUACAUACGAAAAUAAACAGAGCAUGUUUCAAUCAUAUUGCAUGCAUGAAUAAGCAGAAUAAUUUUUAAUCAUAUUUUUUUAACCACAUAUAAGAUCAUUUCUCCACAAUUGCAAACAUUUAAUUUCCACAAUUUUAUCCAUAACUGGGGAGUAUUUUUCUAUAUACUUAGGCCCCAACCCUUUUGUUUUUCCUCCACCAGAAAACAUUGUGUUGUCACGUUAUAUGAGUACAUACCACAUGUAGCAAAAAAAUAUAUCUUCAUUUGUUUCCCUUUUUUUAUAAAAAAAUAAAGUUUGCCUAAUAUAUAAAUAUAUAUAUACAUCAAUAAGUGCAAACACACCCUUAAUCUGAAAGAGGUAUUAAUUGCGAACGUUUUUAAUAAACAAUCUAUGAAUAGUCAUUGUCAGAGUCUUAUAGAAAAUGGAACAUAUCAUUAAUACCUAAUAGGAACAUAUUAUUAGUAAUUAAUGGUUGCACAAUAAUUGCAAUUAAGUUGAUUAGUUUCGAAAAGCAUGGUUAGCCUCUUAAAUUAGAACUCUUAGGGAUAUGACAAUUAUUGCUUAGACCAGCUGUUAUGUAGAUUAUGCUCCGGAGCUAUUCCGAUUCCGAUUCGAGCUUAUUUCGAUUCCGAUAUUCUGAUUCCAAUUCCAACUUCGAACCAAACACGCCCUUAGUUUAAAUACUAAAACUUCUGAAUUUUUACAAGUUCAUUUUAUUUCUUGGCAAUUUUAAAUCAUGGAAUAUGAAAUAAUAUUUAAUUAUAUUUAAAAUAAACUGAAAUAAGUAAAUUAUUCGGCAUGGAAGGGUAAAUUAUCGAUCAUGUUAUAAGAAAAUUAUUACGAUUUACCUCUUUCUUUUUUUCUUUACGUUCACAUAGUAAGGUGGUUGAAUUGAAAGUAAAGAGAAUUAAUUGUAACAUGAGAAUAGUACAUAAGCCAGUCAUAUAUUUUACUCUAUGUUUUUUAAAAAUUUAACAAUACUUAAAAAUAUUUCGAUAUGAUUUAGCGUUACAUUUGAGAGCGUCGGUUAAAACGUCGGCAAAUAAAAAGUGACCACGUAAUUGCUUUAAAGUGUGAGAAUUUUUUUGAAAUCCAGACGCCUUAAAACAUAGGACAAUUAAAAAUAAUAGGAAACUUUAUCAUUUAACAAAUUGGUUUGAUACAAUGGAUUUAAAUGAUGAUAUUUUAUGAAUCGUCAAUAUUUACUAUAUUGUAAGGACACUUGGAAUAUUUUUCUCAAGCACUAUCUAAAAAGUGUUCUUAUAUUGAGGUUUUUUUUUGUGUCCAUAACAUAAUAUUACAUACGAAAAUAAACAGAGCAUGUUUCAAUCAUAUUGCAUGCAUGAAUAAGCAGAAUAAUUUUUAAUCAUAUUUUUUUAACCACAUAUAAGAUCAUUUCUCCACAAUUGCAAACAUUUAAUUUCCACAAUUUUAUCCAUAACUGGGGAGUAUUUUUCUAUAUACUUAGGCCCCAACCCUUUUGUUUUUCCUCCACCAGAAAACAUUGUGUUGUCACGUUAUAUGAGUACAUACCACAUGUAGCAAAAAAAUAUAUCUUCAUUUGUUUCCCUUUUUUUAUAAAAAAAUAAAGUUUGCCUAAUAUAUAAAUAUAUAUAUACAUCAAUAAGUGCAAACACACCCUUAAUCUGAAAGAGGUAUUAAUUGCGAACGUUUUUAAUAAACAAUCUAUGAAUAGUCAUUGUCAGAGUCUUAUAGAAAAUGGAACAUAUCAUUAAUACCUAAUAGGAACAUAUUAUUAGUAAUUAAUGGUUGCACAAUAAUUGCAAUUAAGUUGAUUAGUUUCGAAAAGCAUGGUUAGCCUCUUAAAUUAGAACUCUUAGGGAUAUGACAAUUAUUGCUUAGACCAGCUGUUAUGUAGAUUAUGCUCCGGAGCUAUUCCGAUUCCGAUUCGAGCUUAUUUCGAUUCCGAUAUUCUGAUUCCAAUUCCAACUUCGAACCAAACACGCCCUUAGUUUAAAUACUAAAACUUCUGAAUUUUUACAAGUUCAUUUUAUUUCUUGGCAAUUUUAAAUCAUGGAAUAUGAAAUAAUAUUUAAUUAUAUUUAAAAUAAACUGAAAUAAGUAAAUUAUUCGGCAUGGAAGGGUAAAUUAUCGAUCAUGUUAUAAGAAAAUUAUUACGAUUUACCUCUUUCUUUUUUUCUUUACGUUCACAUAGUAAGGUGGUUGAAUUGAAAGUAAAGAGAAUUAAUUGUAACAUGAGAAUAGUACAUAAGCCAGUCAUAUAUUUUACUCUAUGUUUUUUAAAAAUUUAUGAGGAUUUAUUGUCAGCAUCUUUUUUUGCUGUCAAUUUAAUUUUAUACUUUUAAUUUAAUAAUUUAAUUUACUUUAGCUAUUAAAAUAAGAAAAAAGAGUAGCGCUUUCGCUGCCGUUCAUUCUCUCCUCUUCAAUGACUAAGAUUUAAUUUUUUUUAAAUUGUAACUUGCACUUUGAGAGAAAUACCAGUUAUCAGGUACCUCAAAAAAUAGUAUUUUUGUCUUUUAAUAUGAUUAAUUUAGUAAUUUUACCUUUACUAUAUUAUCAAAAUUUUUAUUCUCACUUUGUUUCCUUUUUCUUUCUCUUUUUUUACUUACAAAUUCAAUUUGUAAAGAACUAAAAUUUAAAAUAUCGACUAAAAACUAAAAAAAUUUAAUGGCAAAAUCAAAAUCAAUUUAAUAAAUUAAAUUAAUUAGACUGAUUAAAUUGAUAAAAUAUAUAAAUAGCUUAGAUUUGUUCAAUAUAAAUUUAUUUAAUUUAUCUAUAUUUAUAAUUUUAUUUACUCUAGUAAAACUCUAUGAUGGAGAUUUAUUAUAAGAUUAAAAUUUAAAUUAUACAGUCUAAAUUUAUUUAUUAGUAAGUUUAAAUUGCACUAUAUUAUUUAGAUUUAUUGGAGGUUUCUGUAUACUUUUUAGCUUCUAAACUUCAAAUUUAAUUUGUUUUCAACUUAUAUUUUAAAUUCCUAUACAUGAUCUUAUUAUUUUAAAAGUUCAAUUUUUACUAUUAAAAUUUGAAUUAAUUUUGCCCAUACAAUUCUAUUCUAAAAAUAAAUUUGCAUUAUACCUAAAUUUCUAAUCAAUUAUCCACAUUAAAUUUUUUAAAUAGUGAUAAAAUAUUAAUAUCUAAAUUAAAAAAAUCUUAAUUUUUUUCAAUUUAUUAAAUAUGUUGAAUUUAAAUAUUUGCCCACAUUCAAUUUUAUAAAAUUAGUAAUACAAAAUUAAUAUCUAAACAAGACGAAUUCAUAAUUGUGUUAAACAUAUUAAAUAUGUUAAAUUUAAGUAUUUACCAACAUUACAAAUUUUUUUAAAUAGUGAUACAAAAUAUUAAUGUCUAAAGUAGAACAAUUCUAAAAUUUUUUUAACAUAUUAAAUACAUUUAAUUUAUAACUUUUUACCUACAUUUAAAUUUUUUUAAAUAAGUGAUACAAAAUUAAUGUUUAAACUGUAGAAAUUUAAAAGUUUCUUAAAUAUAUUAAUAUGUUGAAUUAAAAUAUUUACCAACAUUACAAAUUUGUAAAAUAGUAAUACAAAAUUCCUCUAACUUAAAUUUAAAUUUUUAAUAUUUAAUAUUUAAUAUUUAAUAUUUAAAUUCAACCUAUUUAGAAAUAGAAUUAUUUCUAAAAUUCUUAUAAUUUAAAUUAAUGCCUAAAUUUGAGAAUUUCUAAAAUAAAUGCCUAAAUUAAUGCCUAAAUUUGGGUAAUCAAUCAAUUCCUCAAGUUAGUGCAAAUUAAUGCGUAAAUUUAGAAUAUCAAUUAGAAUUUUCUUUAAAUGUUGCAUAGUUUAAUUACAAAAAUAAUCUCGAAUGAAGUAAUUUUUUUANAUAUAUAUAUAUAUAUAUAUAUAUAAUUUUAAUUUUUAAUAACAAGUACUAAAUUGAUUGAAUUCUACUUGGAAACAAACAAGCGAGCUCCAUCAAAAUCAAUCAAUCUCAAAUUAAGACAAGUAUAUGAAAGUUACAUCUUACCAAAAUAUAUGAACAAUUAUUGUACUAUAUGUCAAUUUCGAAUCUUUAUUUAGAUAUGUAACCUUUUCAACUUUUUCUUACAAAAUCUUUUUCAAAUUGACUUAGAAUUAGUCAGUAAUUUCAAAGAGUAAAGAGAUAAAAUAUUAUUUAUAAAAAAACUAUUUUUUAAUGUUUAUAAAUUAGAAGCAUAAUAUAUAUCUUAAAAAUGUAAUGCAAUAACCAUUUUGAAAUUUUGGAAUUGUAUUAGGACCAUCCUUUUUUUUAACCUAUAGGUUGAUUCAAAAUUUGUGAACCCAGUAAAAUUUAUCUUGAGCAUUUAUUAAACAAUUUCUUCUUUCAAGAAAGUAUACAUUUCAUGAAUUUUUGUUUAAACCUAUAUUCUGUUUUUUUUAAAAAAAAUAUUUUUACAGAAUUUUUAGAAAGGCUAAUGUUGACCCUCCGUUGGCGGCUGUUAAGAUUUAGCAGUUGCUCCCACCCAGUAGGAGAAGUUGCUCUCAUCUAAACGUCAUCUUUUUUUUUUUCUUUCUUUUUGUUUUGGUUUUGAUUGAGGUUUACUACCUAAUUUCUGAUACUUAAUUCAUCGUUCUAAUAAAUAAAAUAGGUAGCGUACUUAAUUCAUCUUUUUAAUAAAUAAAAUAGGUAGUGUAUUAUCCUUAUCUAAAAAAAAAGUAAAAAAAAUAUUUCAGCAAUUGGUUGUGUAACUAAAUUGAAAUUAGGAUUCAAUAAGCUAGAAUUUUUAUUUAGAUUAAGAUCAAGAAUUAUUGUGCCACUGAUACGGGACCUGCUGGUAUGAUAUGGGAAAGGUACGGCGCACCGAUAAAUGUCCGGGCGCGCCAGUACCUACAACAUGGAGGCUAUGAGUCUUGAGGUAUUUAGAUACUAAGGCUUCGUUUGGUUCGGGGUUAAGUAAAAAUUAAUUAUUUCAGGGAUAGAGUUAAGUUUAAGAUUACGGUGGGGUUAGAGUAAUUUUGUGUUUGGUUGAUAAUUGAAUUUAGUACAUAUAUAAGCAAAAUGGUGUUUGGUUAGAAUUAGUAGAAUAAGAAUGAUAGUGGAUAGUUAUACAUAGAAAAUAAUAAUAUUGCCCCAAUUAUUAUAUUUGAAUUUAAAUUUAAAAAUUAAAUAAUUAAAAAUAAUAAUUUAAAACUUAAAAUUUAAAAUUAUUUUAAAUCUCAAAUUUAAAAAUUUAAAGUUACAAAUAUAAAAUGUCAAAUUUAAAAUUUAAAUAAUUAAAAAUAAUAAUUUAAAAUUCAAAUUUAAAAUUUAAAAUUUAUAUUUAUAUUUUUAAAUCUCAAAUUUAAAGUUACAAAUAUAAAAUAUCAAAUUUAAAUUUUAAAUAAUUAAAAAAAAUAAUUUAAAGUUUUAAAUUUAAAAUUUUUAAUUUUUAAAAAUAAAUAUUAUUUUUAAAUUUUUAAAUNNNNNNNNNNNNNNNNNNNNNNUUAAAAUUUAUAUUUAUAUUUAAAAAUUAAAUAGGGGUGGGAUUAACUUAAUCCCACCCCUAUUCCUUGGGAGGGUUGGGGUUAGCUAACCCGGUUAUGGGGUUAGCUAACCCCAUAACCGGGUUAGCUAACCCCAACCCCCCAAAUUCUUGUUUAGGAAUUAGGAUUAAAAGGGGGAUAACCUUCUUAUCCCCCUUUAACCCCGAAUCAAACGGUGUGUUAAACUUUAAAAUGUUAUAAUAUAUGAGUCGAAUUUUUUAAAUUAGUACAAUCAGAUCUCGUAAUAUAUUUAAUUGACUGAAUAUUAAAAAUAUCGCUUAUGUAAAAGUGGAAUCGUAGUAUUGUAAAUAAUAACGCAAUAAUAAUUAAAAUGUUGACUAUAUUGUUUUUACAACAGCGACGGUUAAUAUUAAGUAAGCUAAAUUAAAUUGUAAGACUUGACUAAAAUAUAUUAUGUUAUAUUAAAAUUUAAUAAUUAAAAUGUUAAAGUUUUAUAGUUUUGAGGACAAAGCGUAUAAUUUAACUAUUAACCAUUUUUAAUUGAAAAACUUUUGACUGAGAUGCACAAAUAAAACUGCCAAAGAGUGCAAUGUAAAACCCUACUCCUUAUUAUAUAUAUAUUUAUAUAUCUUAUCCAAAUAGAUGUACUCCCUUAUCACUUCUCAUCACUGUUAGAUACCCUUCACAAAGUCCCAUUCAAUGGCUUUCCCAUGUGCACCUUCUCUUCAAUCUCUAUUGAAGUACUCAUGUCCAGAGUUCCUCUUCUCUGUUUCCUUCUUUCUUCUUUUCCUCUUGUAUCGCCGCUGCUUGCACCAGACUAAAAAUGGAAAACCGUCGAACGUUCCGACGAACUGGCCGGUCGUUGGCAUGCUCCCGGGGCUCCUCGCGAACCUCUACCACUUCCACGACUGGGUCGCAGCGAUCCUCCGGGAGACGGGGGGCGACUUCUUCUGCUCCGGGCCGUGGCUCUCCAGCAUGGCGUUCUUCGCGACCGCCGACCCUGCGACGGUGCAGCACGUCUUCACCGCCAACUUCGCCAACUACCCCAAGGGCGACGAGUUCGCGGAGAUCUUCGACGUGCUCGGCGGCGGCAUCUUCAACGCCGACGGCGAAUCUUGGCGGGUCCAGCGGGGCCGGGCCCAGCUCCUGAUGGCCCACCAGAGGUUCCGCGGUUACGUCGCGAGGUGCAGCCGCGAGAAGGUGGAGAGCGGGCUGCUGCCGUUGCUCGGCCGCGCGGCGGAUGCCGGGGAUGUCGUCGACCUGCAGGACGUGUUCUUGAGGCUGACUUUCGAUACGACGACCAGACUGGUCUUCGGGGUCGACCCCGGCUGCCUGUCCGCCGGGCUGCGGACCGUGCCGUUCGCGAAGGCCAUGGACGACGCCAUGGCCACGCUCUUCCUCCGCCACACGAUGCCCGCGACCUGGUGGAAGGUGAUGCGGCGGCUGGGGGUAGGACAGGAGAAGAAGCUUGCCACGGCCCGCGUAGUCAUCGACCGAUUCAUCGCCGCAACCAUCGCGGAGAAGAAGCAAGCUCGGACGAGGGAAUCAGAUGACCAGGAAUGCGACUUACUAUCGGCUUACAUGGAGGGAAGAGAAUACGACUCCAUAGGUAAAAGAAGCUUUCAAAAAUACACUAAUACUCGCUAAAUAGAAAAGGUGCAAACUUUUAUUAAACAUACCGAUGAAUUAUGAAUUUAUGAUUAAAAGUUUAAAUUUAAAAAAUUUAAAGAUACAUGUGCGUACAUAUGUCUAAAAACUAAUCAGCAUAAACUCCACGAUAAAAAUUUACUACUUAAUUACACAAAUCAAAUCACUAUUUCACUAUUUUCAUGAUUUAGUCAACUUCCAGCUACAUUAAUCCACUACUAACAGGGCCAAAAACAAAUUUGCAUCAUUUUUCAACAGACUCCUCCUUUGCAUCUUACGACGAAAGGUUUCUGCGAGACACCGCGAUGAACUUCAUGCUCGCCGGGCGCGACACGACGGGCUCCGGCCUCUCCUGGUUCUUCUGGCUCCUCUCCAAGAAUCCGCGCGUAGAAGAGAAGAUCCUCCAGGAACUGAACACGAUUUCGCCCCCCCGAAAAGGUGAACUCGCCGUCUUCGACUCCGAAGAGCUCGGUAAGUUGGUCUACCUCCACGCCGCCUUAUGCGAAUCGCUCCGCCUCUUCCCGCCGGUCCCGCUAGAGCACAAAGGAGUUCUGCAACGAGACAUUCUCCCCAGCGGCAUCGAGGUAGGCGCUGGCUCGAAGAUACUGGUGUCGAUGUACGCAAUGGCGAGGAGGGAGGAGGUGUGGGGGAAGGACUGCAUGGAGUUCAGGCCGGAGAGGUGGAUAUCGGAGAAGGGGAAGGUGCGGUACGAGCCGUCGUAUAAGUUCCUAUCGUUCAACUCGGGGCCGAGGACGUGCUUGGGGAAGGACAUGGCGUUCACGCAGAUGAAGGCGGUGGCGGCCGCCGUCGUCUACAACUUCCGCGUCGAGGCCGUCGAAGGGUUCGUCGCGGAGCCCAAGCUCUCCAUUAUUCUGCAUAUGAAGAACGGUUUGAUGGUUAGGGUUAGGAGGAGGGGGAGUGGAUGAUGAGGAUGAGGAUGAAGAUGAUAAGGAAUGAUUGGCGCAUAUUAAAUUACUAUGUAUUGUUGUGUGUUAUCCAGUGUUGGCUGUGUACGUAGCUAGCUAAGUUCUAGUUUGAAGUGGUGUAACUGUUUCCAAGUGCAGAAACUGUUAAAAUGUGAUGUGAUAGUUCUGUUUUAUUUAUUUUAUAAAAUACAGAACUGCUAGCUCGGACGCGCGGCGAGCACACGGCGAUGCACUUCCGCUUCGCAUCCGAAAAUCAAAACCACAAAAUACUAAGUCACUGAAUUAAUAUAAAAAAUUAAUAAAAUAAUUAAUAAAUAAAAUAAAAUAAAAUAAAAUUAUAAGAUACUAAUUUAAUACACUUUAAAUCACAUAAGAAAAAGGACGUAACCAUAGGGGCUAAUUUGAUACGCUUUAAAUUAUAGAAAACUAAAGUAAAAGUGUGAAAUCAUAAAAGAGUAUUUGAAGUUUAUUCUGUUACAUUUUUUUAGAGGAGCCAAACUUUGCUCGUACGCCACCGACACAAACCAAUGGCCAAUGCGCGCCGCAACUGCGACGGUGGCCUAGUGUAUUAGACUCAUACAUUAUUAGCUGUCUACAUUAGUAGAAAAUCUACUGUUUCACACUUAUACCGCAUCUGUAAUAACAAAAUAAUUAUAUAUUUUUUUAAAAAAUAUAAUAAUUCUUUUUUAUAAUUAUAUUUAGACAGAUAAAUUAAAAAAAUUAUUUGAUUAGUUAAAAAUAUCGCGUCACUAAUAUAAUUGAUACAUUUUAAAAUUUUUACUAGGUUUAAUGCAUGCCGCAGUAUUAGACUUGCACGGCGAACACAUGAGUGAUGCAUUUCGGCUGCAUUUCCUAAUAUUUUAAAAAAUAAAAAUACAAAAUACAAAAAUUAUCCAAUAUACGAAUUAUUUUCAGUUCACCAUUCAAUGUUCUAGAGAAAAAUACUACAGAUAUGUGCUUCAAAAUAAAAUUUAUAUCUUACACUCAAGAACUCCUUGCGUUAAAGUUUUAAUUUUACUGCCAUCUCACUUUUAUAUUAACGAAACGUCAAUAUUUAGUCAAUUAAAUAAAUCAUAAAAUUAUAAAAUUUAUUUAUAAUAAUUUUUAAAAUUUAUAAAAAGUUAUAAUUUGGGUAUGAAAAUAACGCGCGUAAUAAUUUAAUAAGAUUCAAACGUGCAUUUUAUUCUGUAUAACUUUAUCUUCUUUGAAAUAAUGAUUUAAGUAUCGUGGCACGAAAUCGCGCCGGUAAUUUGUACGACACAAUGUGUGCCGAUCAAAAGAAUUAUAUGUAUGCCGACAUAUAACAAUAUAAAAUAUUUAUUUUUUUUAGUAAUAAAAUAUAUUAAUUAUUUAUUGUGUAUUUUUAUCAAAUUUUUUAAAAUUUAUUAAGAAAUUUUUUUACUAAUUUAAAGAAUAAAGAAUUUUAAAUUGUACUAUCAAUACAGAGCAGUAUCGUAUCGAUAUCUUGCUGGUACGAUUUGGUAUGGUGGUGGAUACUGCUGGUGCCAAAGAGCACUUAAAUACUUGCUUUUGAGAUCCAAGCUCUGUUCCCGCGCCACCACUCCAAACCAAUCCCGGAUGCGCGCGGCGGCGGAGGCGGCGGCGUCAUCUUUGGACCCGGCGCGGCUCCACGCGGUGCUGAUCAAGACGGCGUCGGGCGACCGCGCCGCCCACCACCGCGUGCUGUCCCUCUACCCGGCGUCCUCCUCCGUCCGGCUGCUCCUCCGCCACCUCCCCUUCCCCCCGACCCACGUCUCCUGGACCGCCGCCCUCUCCUCCCUCUCCCGCUCCCGCUCCCCGCCGUCCUCCGUCUUCCUCCUCCUCCGCCUCAUCCUCCGCAGCUCCCCUCCUCUCCUCCUCUCCGAUGGCGCCGUCUCCGCCGCUCUCAAAUCCCUCUCCGUCUCCAUCUCCGUCUCCGUCUCCCUCCGCCUCGCACUCCCACUCCACUCCCUCGCCCUCAAGCUCGCCAUCGCCCGCCUCCCCUUCUCCGGCUCCGCCCUCGUCUCCCUCUACGCCAAAUCCCGCCUCCCCUCCCACGCGCUCAAGGCGUUCGACGAUAUUCCCCACCCGGACCCCGCCUGCUUCGCCGCCGCCAUCGUCGCCCUCGCGCAGAACCGCCGCCCCGCCCCUGCGCUCGCCCUCUUCGCCUCCAUGCGCGCCCGCGGCGUCCGCUCCACAAUGUACGCCGUGUCCGCGGCCCUACGCGCCGCCGCCGACCUCGCCGCGCUCGACCUCUCCCGCUGCGCCCACGCCCACGCCCUCGUCGUCGGCCUCGACGCCGACCUCUUCGUCGCCACCGCCCUCCUCGACGCCUACGGCAAGGCCGGCCUCGUCGCCGACGCCCGCCGCCUGCUCGACGCGCUGCUCGGCGCCGCCAACCUCGUCACCUGGAACGCCAUGCUCGCCGCGCACGCGCAGCAGGGGGACCUGGACGCCGCCCUCGGCGUGUUCGGCGAAAUGCGCGAACGCGACCUCGCGCCAGACGAUUUGACCUUCCUCGCGAUCCUCACUGCGUGCAGCAACGCCGGCGCGGCGGAUGCGGCAGAGGAGUGGAUCAAGCUGAUGGAGUCGCGAUACGGCGUUGCGCCCGGCCUCGCGCACUACACGUGCCUCGUGGGCUCGCUGGCACGCGUCGGCCGUCUCGGCGACGCCGAGCGCGUCGCGCUGGCCAUGCCGUUCGCACCCGAUGCGGCUGUGUGGCGGACUCUGCUCUCCGGCUCCAUAAUUCACCGCCGGGCCGACAUAGCCGAAUCGUCGGGGCGGCGCCUGUUAGAGCUCGACCCGCAUGAUGAUUCAGCCUACGUCAUGCUCGCGAACGUAUGUUCAGCCACGGGGAGAAUGGACGAGGUGGCCAAGCUGUGGACGGCGAUGAGGGACCGCGGAGUGAAGAAGGAAGGCGGGCGGAGCUGGGUCGAGGUGCGAGGUGCAGUGCACGUGUUCGUCGCCAACGAGCGGAGGCACGCACGAACUAGCGAGAUCUAUGCAAAACUAGAGGAAUUGAUGCGAGAAGUGAAGAAGUUGGGCUACGAAGAAGAGGAUGCGGGGCUUCGGCACCACAGUGAGAGGUUGGCCAUGGCGUUCGCAGUGCUCAGCGGGGCCGCGCCGAAGGGGAAGGAGCUUAGAGUGGUGAAGAAUCUAAGGAUAUGUGGAGAUUGCCAUGAGCUUUUUAAGUAUGUGAGUAGGGUGAUUGAGAGGGAGAUUGUGGUGAGGGAUGUGAAUAGGUAUCACAGGUUCCAGAAUGGAUCCUGCACCUGCAGGGACUACUGGUGAAAUGCUGCUGUUUAAGGAAGCCAUAGAUUCUGUUUAUAUUCAUCGGCGCCAUUAUCGGAUUCUUUCGUUUUCGCAGGCCACCGGAUCAUACGAGACACCUGAUGACCAAAAGGGCUGAUGAAUGCGACACAAUCUGAAUCGAAACAUGUAUUAAGGACAGGAUUUGAACCUGUAAGAGCUGACCAAUUCUGACACAAACAGUACUUGUUGCGUAGAGCUCUUCUCUGAUCGAAAUCGGUUCAAUAUUUAAGAAUUAGAACUUCUACAUUUGACGCUCAUUCAGCUUUAUACCACAGCAAACGUUUCGGAGUGACUGCCAAACUAAUAGACACUUAACCACGAAGUCAAGGCGGCUUACCGUUGUCAAAAGCUAUUAUUUUUGGAUUGAGGUUUGGGGUUUCAAUUCAAAUGUGGCAAUGAACUGCACCAAAAUUCUGGGUAGGAAACCUGAUUGCAAAGAAAUUUGGGCAUGUCAGAGAUGGAUAAGUUCUUGCACAUUAUGUGUUGACAUAUUUGACCUAUUGAGAUUGUAGAGCUUGUUUCACUGGGAACCAAUAAGAGAGAGAGAGAUAUUGCUAUUGAAUUUUUCGGCCAAAUUAUAACAACAUGUUGCAACACCAUUGACAUUGUCACACUCAGAAGUAUCCAUGUUGUGUUGAUUCAGAUGCUAUUUUCAUUUUUUUGAUUCACUAUCUUUGUCGAUUUCUUUAGUGUAGUCAGGAAAAAAUAAUAAUUUGUUGAAACAUGAGGGUUUUGAUUGUAACUUUUGAAGAAACAAAAUCCACCCUAGUAACCAUCUCCUCUCAAAAACAAAAACAAAAAACAAGAAAAAAAACAAAAGAAAACUCAUUUAAUAACUCUCUCAUCCCUCUCUCUCCCUGCAAAAGCUCUCCUCCUUUCCAAUGAUUAAGCCACAGAGAUCCACCUCCAAGAUAUUAGUUUAAUUUCUCAUAAAUAAAUUUUUCUCUGAAAGAUCUAGAGAAAGAUUCGAAGACAUUGAAAGAUUCAAUUGUAGCCUACUGCUAGGUGGCAGAUUUUUCUCAUUUUAUUGUAAUUGAUGAGUACAUAAAUAUUUCUAUUUUCACUGAACCUGACACAUCGUCGAAUUAUACUUACUUGUGGGGUGCCUAUGAAAAUAUAGAAAAUAUAUUAUAACCAUACCGCGGGAGCUCUUGGAAGCCUAAAUAUGAUGAAAAUGUAUAUAUUAUAACUUCGAUAGAGCCGUAAAAAAUACGUCAUAACCUACUCUUGUUUUCAGUGGAAUCAUUCAUAUCAUAAGAUUCAUUAGUGAAACAGAAAAAUAUAUUAUAACUGAUUCAUUACAAUAUACAGAACACUUUCCACGGCACAUAACAUAAUUUUUUUUUUCCAGAAGUUGUUCCACUAGCCUUUAAUCCUUUCUUUAAAUAAUAAUAAGCCGCAAUCCCUAGAGCAUUCUGUCCAAAGGUCGUCAUUUUUUCACUGGUCUUAUUAAUUUUUUAAUAUUAAAAUUUUUUAAAAAUAUUUAAACCUUUGGAUGGAUGAGUCUAUAAUAUACUUCUAGCGUGGCUAAAACAAAUUGAUAGAUAACGACCAUUCAACCGCACAACUUUCUCUAAUUAUAAAACAAAUUGAUAGAUUGUAUAAUUAGACAUAACAAAAAAAUCCAAACAAGUCAAUAAGGUAAAGUGCUUGCAUUUUUAAAAUGCAAUUCCCCUCACUAAUUACAUCAAGUGUUCACAUCACUGUAACUUAGUAAAGUGUAUAAACCUUUUGGCAAAAACGUAUAAAAUUUAUUUGAACUAUAAUUACUUUAAAACUUCCACCUGAUCCUGCAAAUAUUUAAUUUUAUUAUUCAACUUUGCAAUAUGUAUAAUUUGAGUGAAUCAACGGCAAUUUAAGUUCAAAAUUUAAGGUAAUUUUUUACUUUAAUAAAUUUAUAAUUAUUAAAAUUGUAUGAAAUAUACUGACUAAAUCUCAUUCAAAAUUUAAAAUCAAAAUAUCGUUGAUUGACGCAAAUCAAACAAAUUGAAAUUACGGUUGGAUGGUAAAGUUUAAAUUUUGAAAGGCAAGCUCUUUAUGUUUUUACCAAAACGUAGUAUCUACAAAAUGUAUCUCCAAAAGGAGCCUUAAAAAUCUCAACAAAGAGUUAAAUCGGAAUACCUAACUAUAAAUUAAGCGCCAAGUUUUUUCCAUUGCCCAUUAUAUUAUAUAUAAUAAUCCAAAGAAGUUAAAUUUGGAGAAGCAGUAUCACUAUCACUUUUAUUGUCUAUAUGCGCCCUUUGAACUAUAUCUAUCAUUUCCUCUUAUAUUAGUUAUUAAAGUAUAAAACCUACCGUCUCUAGAACAAGUGUCAAAUGGCUUGAUGGUUGGUACCUGAGAUCCCAAGUUUGAAUCCUAAUUGAUUCAUAUUUUCAGCGAAGUUUAUUUCUAAAUGAAAUAAACGAAGAUAUGAACGGGUAUGCAUAGUUUUGAAGUAAAAAAAACAUGCAUAACCAUCCACAGUGCAUGAAGGUUCUAUUUAUUUAUCUAACUGAAAAUAAUACUUCAUUACUCAAGUUAAACCUCAUACUAAAUGCACCUGCUCUCAUUUUUUUAGAAGGAUUUAAAAUAUUCUAAAUUAUUCUAAAAACUUUUUUCUCUAUAAAAUGAUGAUAGAGCAAAAAACAAAAAAGCUUCAAAAUUUUAAAAUUUUGUUUUUCUUGGCCUUUAAAGACAAUGUAGCCAAAAACCCUAGCUAGCUAGCAAACUGGGUUAUCUAGCCUAACAAUAGAGCCACAAACCCUAAAGCACACCACCAACGAUCACCACUCAUCAUCUUCAUGCAUGCUAGAUCACCAUCCACUCCCCCUCCUCCUAACCCUAACCAUCAAACCAUUCUUCAUAUGCAGAAUAAUUGAGAGCUUGGGCUCCGCGACGAACCCUUCGACGGCCUCGAUGUGGAAGUUGUAGACGACGGCGGCCGCCACCGCCUUCAUCUGCGUGAACGCCAUGUCCUUCCCCAAGCACGUCCUCGGCCCCGAGUUGAACGACAUGAACCGAUACGACGGCUCGUACCGCACCUUCCCCUUCUCCGAUAUCCACCUCUCGGGCCUGAACUCCAUGCAGUCCUUCCCCCACACCUCCUCUCUCCUUGCCAUCGCGUACAUCGACACCAGUAUCUUCGUGCUAGGGUUUACCUCGAUGCCGCUGGGGAGAAUGUCACGUUCCAGAACUCCUUUGUGUUCUACGGGGACCGGCGGGAAGAGGCGGAGCGAUUCGCAUAAGGCGGCGUGGAGGUAGACUAACUUACCGAGCUCUUCGGAGUCAAAGAUGGCGAGUUCACCAUUUUGGGGGGGCGAAAUCGUGUUCAGUUCCUCGAGGAUCGUCUCUUCUACGUGCGGAUUCUUGGAGAGGAGCCAGAAGAACCAGGAUAGGCCGGAGCCUGUUGUGUCGCGCCCGGCGAGCAUGAAGUUCAUCGCGGUGUCUCGGAGAAACCUUUCGUCAUCGGAUGCGGAGGAGGAGUCGUGCUCUUUUCCCUCCAUGUACGCCGAUAAUAAGUCGGAUUCCUCAUCAUCUGAUUCCCUCCUCUCAUGAGCUUUCUUCUUCUCCGCGACGGUUUCGGCGAUGAACCGGUCGAUGACUACGCGGGCCGCGGCAAGCUUCUUCUCCGGUCCUAUCCCCAGCCGCCGCAUCGCCUUCCACCAGGCUGCGGGCACCGUGUGGCGGAGGAAGAGCGCAGCCAUGGCGUCGUCCAUAGCCUUCGCGAACGGCACCGUUGGCAGCCCGGCAGACAGGCAGCCGGGGUCGACCCCGAAGACCAGUCUGGUCGUCGUGUCGAAGGUCAGCCGCAGGAACACGUCCUGCAGGUCGAUGCAAUCCCCGGCAUCCGCCGCGCGGCCGAGCAACGGCAGCAGCCCGCUCUCCACCUUCUCGCGGCUGCACCGCGCCACGAAACUGCGGAAUCUCCGGUGGGCCAUCAGGAGCUGGGCCCGGCCCCGCUGGGCCCGCCACGAUUCGCCGUCGGCGUUGAAGAUGCCGCCGCCGAGCACGUCAAAGAUCUCCGCGAACUCCUCGCCCUUGGGGUAGUUGGCGAAGUUGGCGGUGAAGACGUGCUGCACCGUUGCGGGGUCGGCGGGGGUGGCGAACGUCAUGCCGGAGAGCCACGGGCCGGAGAAGGCGAAAUCGCCCCCCGUCUCCCGGAGGAUCGCCGUGACCCAGUCGUGGAAGCGGUGGAGGUUCGCUGCGAUCCCCGGGAGCAUGCCGACGACCGGCCAAUCGACCGGAACGCUCGACGGCUUUUCAUUAUUAGUCUGGCGCCAGCAGCGGCGAUGCAAGAGAAAAGCGAGGCAGAAGAAAAUAGAGAAGAAGAACUCGGGGAAUGAUCUCAAAAACCAUAGAAGGGAUGAUGCCCACUGGGGAGUCAUUGAAUGGGAAAUGGGACCGGAAAAAUCACUACUUCGAGUGAUAAAAGAUCGUAGGAUAUUUUCUAUCUAUAUCUGUAUAAAUAUGUGCAUCUAUUAUAUCUAUAUCUAUUUUUAUCCUGUCACAGAAAAUAAAUUUUGGAAAUAUGUAUUUAGGUUAGGGUUACUAUACCUGGCCGUUGGAUAGAAUGAUAGUGAUAUUUUAGGGUUGAAUAGGUUUUGAUUGAAUAGUAUGAUCUAUCGGAUGAAAAUGAUUAAAGAAAUAAAUCUACAGUCAAAAAUUUAUAAGUAUAAAUGAGUUUAUAGUCAUAAGAGUAUAUUAGUUAGAUUCUAUGUAUUUAUUAUUAUUAUUAUUUUUCCCUUUUUCAACCUUUAUCUUAAAUAUCCCUCUAUCUCAUCUCCAUAACAAACUGCUCCCUCGAUCUCCUAAUUAUUCGGAUCUCCCACUCGCUCUAUCUAAAUAAUCAAAUCUCUAACUUAAUUUUUUACCGUAAUUUAGAGAUAAUUAUAACAAUUAAAUCUCUAUCUUCUUUAACUAACCAACCAUUCUAUAUAUUAGAUAUUAGAUAUUAGAUAUUAGAUUAGCCCGUUUCAAUUUCCAAGGGUGCUGAUUCGGUUCUCUCUUUUCCAAAAUCAUCCACUCAUUUAUUUAUUACCAUUAAAUGGUUGAGAUAUGUUAUUGAUCUUACUUUUUUUACAGAAUUAUAUUGCUAAAAAUAUAAAAUAAUUAUGCUGUAAAUUUAAAAUAUUUAUUACUAAUUAUUAAGUGCUUUACCAUUCGUGUUAGGAAACGAGGAUUUUUUAAUUAAUCCUAUUGUAGCCAGAUAUAGAAUAUAAUGAUUAUAUCGGUGCCUUCUACAGAUUGAGAUUAUUUUAUGAGAGAAAACUUCAUUGAAGAACUUGCAAUAACAUUUUAUUGAAAAGUUUUCGAUCUACUAUUAUAUAUUAAUUUUAUCUUCAUCAAAUAUUUAAAUAUUUUUAAUACUAAAUUUUUAAAAAACUUUUUUUUUGAAAAAAUUAUAAUUUGUUUUGAAAGCUACCUAUCUCUCAAAAAAAAGAAAAAAAAUUAUAGUCUACUUUCUCAUAGUAUUGCUUUUAUUUCACUCUAUUAUAGUAGUAAAUUAUUGAUAAUGAAAAUGAUAAAACAUUGCAUUAUAUAUAUAUAUUUUUUGUAAUUUGUAAAAUUUAUUACUUUGUUAGCAUGUUUAAUGUUACACUGUUGCGACCAAAUAGAAAUAAGAUUAUAGGAUAAUUAAGGGAUUGUUAAGUUAGAUAUAGUCACAAUUGUUCUGCAAUUGUAAUUGCAAUACAAAUUCAAAUUCGGUAUUCAGUUAACUACAUUUGAAUUUAACUGUUUCAGCUGAAAAAAAAAAAACUUUAACCCAAAUAUAACUAAUCUUUCUAAUAACUUUUGAAAAAGAAAAUAUUUUUACACGAAACAAAAUCUACCUUAAUAAAUUACUAGAACUGGUAGAGACUUGUGCAGCAAUUAUUUUAAAUCCUUAAAAAGUAAAUAAAAUUCAUACAUGAACCACAAAAAAGAAAAAGAAAAAAAAAAGAAGAAAAGGAGGGGUUUUCUCUUUAGGGCAUGUUUGUUUGGAUGAAAGUGGAGAGAAGGGAAGUCGUUUCCGCCCUAAAUAAUUAUUUCUAUUGUUUAGUUCGCUGUAAAAAAGUUACGGUCGAAACUCAAGUUAACCUCAAACGACGGAAUUGACUUCGUCCUAUCGUGGACUGAAAUCAAUUAUGAUGAAAAAAGAUAAAAAAAAAUAAUAAAAUAAUAUAAUAGAUAAAGCUCGUUAUAUUUAAGUAUAUUUAAUUAUGUUACUAAUUAUUUUUUUAUACAGUUAAUAUAUCUAAAAUAUGAUAAAAAUUAAUUAGUUAAAUUUUAAUAUUUUUUUAUUUAAUUUGUAUAUUAAAAAUAUGAUAAAAUUGAUUAAUACUUAAAAAUAUAAUUAUAUUAUUUUUAUUUAUUAAAAUAUUUAUUAUUUAUAUAUAAAUUAUAGUUUUAUAUUAUACACUUUCUAUCAAACAAACAGCAGAACUGAUUGAACUAUACUUUCGUAACUACGGAACAAACAGCAAAAAAAAUAGUAAUUUUCACCGAACUCCAGUUCAACCCAAAGUACAAUUUCAAUCCAAAAUCCAAAGUCCAGUUAGCGGCUGAUUUCUCGCUCCCCAGCGAAUCGAACCUUCGCGACUUCGCCCGACUCCGUGACGGGGCUGAAGCACGAGAACUUCCCGAAGCUAUUCCUCCUCCUCGCCCUUCCCCCCAAACCCUUCUCCUCCUUCGCCCUUCCCCCCAAACCCUUCUCCUCCUUCGCCCUUCCCUCCUCCCUCUCCCUGUCCACCACCACCAUCGCCGCCGCCGCCGCGGGGGAGGACUCUUUGGGGUUAGGGUUAGGGUUGGGGGCGAGGUCGGCGANCCUUCUUCUUGGGUUCCUCCUCCUCGAGCAUGACGGCAGUCAUGGUGUCCUGCUCGACGAGGCGCCAGGCGGCCUGCUCGAAGGCGAGGCCGGCGAGGGAGGGGGGCCGGGUGAGGACGAGCGGGCAGCCGCGGUUGGUGCUGCGGAUGACCUCGGCGUCCUCGGGGAUGACGCCGAGGAGCGGGAGGCCGAGCAUGUCCUGCACGUCGAGGACCGACAUCAUGUCCUCGCCGCGGACGAGGUCGGAGCGGACGCGGUUCACGAGCAUCUUGAUGUCGCGGAUGCCGUCGCACUCGAGGAGCCCCGCCACGCGGUCGGCGUCGCGGAGGGCGGUGAUGUCGGGGGUGGUGACGAGCACGGCCUCGUUCGCCGGCGAGAUGGCGGUGACGAAGCCGGCGUCGAUGCCGGCGGGGCAGUCGAUGAGCACGAACUGGGGCGGCGGGUUAGGGUUAGGGUUAGGGUUAGGGUUGGAGGGGUUGUUGGGGCCAUCGGAGCGGAGGGCGUCGACAAUCCAGGUUAGGGUUUUGGGGCCGAAGGAGAGGGGGAGUUAGGGUUAGGGUUUGGUGUGGGGGAGAGCGUGGUCGGAAUGAAGAGUAAGAAGAAGAAGAGGAGGAGGAGGGGGUUUUUGAGGGAGGAGGGGACGGUCGCGAGGGUUUUUUGGAAGCGCGGGGUAACAGCGAGGAUGAGUGCGAAAUUGGAGAAGAAACAGCGGGGAUCAAUUCAUCAUCAGAGCGGAUGCUAAUUUUGGCUGGUGAUUGGAAGAAUCUUCGCUUCCUUUUGUUACAGAGUAAUUUUUGCAGGUAUUGGCCAUUUUACCACUCAUAUUGUGAGUUGAGCCGGAAUGCUGGCCAUAGCAAAUGGACUCUAUUGUCACUCAUUUAUUUUUGAUGGUCGAAACAUGACCUAUACCGUCUAGAAAUUAAAUUUUAAAUAUUUUCGAUAUGAUUAGCAUGAUGAUUAAAAAGUUUCAUAAUUUAUAAUUUUAAUGAUUCUCGUUUAACGGCUUAAUGGUAUUCAUUCAAAGAAUAAUUAGAAAAAAUUUUAAAUUAUUUAGAAUAAUAUUUAUAUUCUUGAUCUUGAUUAUAAGACUUCUAUUAUUAUUUUUUUAAGAAUAUUUAGAUUUAGCUGUUUACUUUUAUGUCCAAUUAAUGGAUAAAAGAACAAUGUCAGAAAAAUAUAAAAUUUGAUUUCUAUAUGCUUCAAGAGAUAUAAAUUAUGUUCAACGAUACCGAUCGUCGAUUUGAAGACUCCAUUAUCGAAAAUAAAUGGAUGGCAACGGAGCCCGUUUACUACCGAUAGCAUUUUAUUUCAACUCCGUAUAUUAUAUAUGAAAUUAUAAUUAUUGCUUUAUGCAGGUAUUUUAAGAGCACUGCGUGCAUAUAUUAGCAACACGCCAACAUCCUCUUUUGCUUCGUCUGUAAUUGAUUUUCCACUCCGGUAAGUAGUAAUUGAUUUUCCACUUCAGUAAGUAAUUGAUUUUCCACUCCUCCAAACAAGUAAGAUUUUCCACAGUAAUUGAUUUUCCACUCCUCCAAACAAGUAAGAUUUUCCACUCCUCCAAACAAUUUACUUGCAUGCGCAUCAACACGAGAGAGAAAUGUGCAGCUAAUGCAAGGCAAAAUCGAGCAGUGCAUUUAGUUGAAAAUAUAAAAUAAUUAGACUUCAAAUUUAAAACUCCUAAUGCGGAUUAUCAAAAUUUUUGCCAUCUGUGCAAGAAACAGUUUGUAGGUUGUUUCCAGAAUAUUGUCCUUGUAACAAGGGUGGAUUCAGUUCGGGCUUAAACGAGGCUCGGAGGGCCAGGCUUUGUUCAUGUUGGGUUUGGAUAGUCCAAAUAGAAUUUUGGCCUAUGACCAGGUAUCAAAAUAAUAUAUUGUAUGGUAAACUUUAAUUUGCUUUACUGAGAUUUAGCUCAUUUUUAUUUUUUCACACUGUGGUUCAAAAUGUUGGACUUGAGUAUCCUAUAGAUUUAUCUUCAAAUAAAAUAGCAAGUUAAAAUUUUUUGAUUAGUACAUAAUAAUUAGGGGCAAGUGCUUAUAUACUCCUAAGAAGUUUCCGACUUUCUGAUAUACUCCUCUUAGAAGGUUAAUAUUGAAAAUAUUUUUUUUACAUUCCAAUCUAUUUUAAAUAUACUUUUAGACUUAAAUUUUGUUAAUGAACUGUUAUCAAUAGUUGUUAUUUCUAUAAAAUUAUUAUUUGGCCAUUUCAAAUAUAACCUUCUAUCAUUACCAAUUUUUCUUAUUUGCCCUUAAGUUAGGGGUAUAUAAAGUAUUUUGAUUUUUGAUCUUUUAAAAUAUAUCUUUCUACCAUCAUCAAUAUUUCUUAUUUGCCUUUAAAUUUUGGACAAAAGAGAUAUUUUGAUUUUUUUUUUUUUUUAACUCUAGUAGGUUAAAGGCAAAAGAGAUAUUUUAAUUUUUUAAUUCUAGUAGAUAUUUAACUCACGUUUAACCAAGUUAACUUAACGGAUGAUAACUGCAGGGAUAUUUUAGAGUAAUGGAGGAACAUAUGAGGGGUGUAUAUUAGAAAGAAAAAAAAGUAAGAAUAAAUAAGAUAUUUCUGAAAUUUUGAGAAGUAAAUAGGCAACAAUCAUUAAUAGUUAAGCAUAAUUCUUUGAACUAUAUCAUGUCAAGGUAAAAAUGAAUUUUACCACAGAAUAGUUAAGUUAAAGUUUUGAACUACCGAGCUUCGUUGAGGCAAAUUGAAGUACGACCUGGCUGCUGUGAUUGCUGUCUUAUAUAUGUUUUUUUUUUAGAGAUAGGUAGCAUGUUAUUUGCUUCGUUUAUUUUAUUUAGGAAUAAACUUAGCUGGAAAUGUAAACAAACUAGGAUUCGAACUUGGAUCUCAGGUGCCAACUACCAAAUCCUUUGCCACUUGCUUUAGGGACGAUCGGUCUGUCUUACAUAUGUUAAAUGCAAGCAGUGCAGGAAACAGUUGUGGGGUACAGAACAGAAACAGUUAAUUUUGUUGGCUAUUUUAGGAUGAUGCAAGGUGGCCGCAAGGUGGCCUUAUUUUUCUUUUGUAAUAUUCAACGACUGCAUUUAAUCAAUAUGAUAGGUAUAAAAUUUACAUCUUUGUCUUCUUGUAAAUUGAGAAAAUACUAUCUGUGUAAGUUACAUCAUAGUCUUCUAGUGGCUCACAGUUAUUUGCUUGUCUUAUCAUUUUUUUUAUUAGUUUACUAAAAAUUCAAAAAAAAAUUUAUAAUCCUCUGGAUCUAUUUAAUGGUGUAAGAUUUACGUCCCUAUAAUUACAAAUAUUUUAUAAGGUUUCUGCAAAUUUUUACAUUUAAUGCUAAAUUUAUAUUUUAUUUUAGCCUCAAGAUUUGCAAAUUCGGACUAGUAAAAUACAGCCAUCUAAGUAAUCUAGGAAAACUUAGAGCAUUUUUUGUUUUCCCAUAAGAAUGACCAAAUCAACUUUUGAACAAUAAGCAAAAGAAAAUUAUUAUAUAUUUAUAUAUAGAGCUAAGUUGGUAUACUAUCGGUAGCACGGUGGCCUCUAUACUAUCAAGUUGUUUUCAAUAAUGGGGCCUCCAAAUCGACGAUCGGCUCCAUUAAACUUGAUAUAUACUAUUGAAAGUAUUUGGAAGCUAAAUUUUAUAAUUUUUGACAUCAUUUAUAUAUCAAACAAGUAGUUUAAAAAUAAACCGUCGAAAAUAAAAAUUUCAUAAAGAAUGAUAAUGAAAGACUUGAAUUUAAGAUCAAAAGUAAUGAUCUUAUUUUAAAUAGUGAAAAAAAUUUUCAAUAAAAAUUUUAUCAGAUUUGAAUUAUUUUAUACUGUUAAAUUCAAGUCUUUCAUUAUCAUUCUUUAUGAACAAGUGCUUCUCAUUAAUCAUUCUAAUUAUGAAUUUUGAGACAUUUUGAUCACUAGCCAAAUAAUGUCAAAAAAUUUAUGAAAUUUAAUUUUCAGAUACGUUCAAUAGUGUAGAUUAAAUCUAACGGAGCAGAUCGUCGAUGUUGUAUCAUUGAAAACAACUUAGUAGCACGGAUACUUCCGUGCUACCGAUAGUAUACAAACCUAGCUCGANAUGAGGAGCCUAGUAAAAAUUGGUAAUCUAAUAUGAUAAGUCGGUUGGUGGGUGAGUUGGGGUCACCCGGGUGUAGUAGGAUUGGCGUAUAGAGAAUUAAGUUACCGAUUUUUAGAUGUUCGUAGUUAUUGAACUAUGAAAAUUUUCGUAUCCUCGAGUUAAGCUAUACUCAGGCCGAUGCCAUGAACAUUUUCAUGUUUCGUGAACCACGAACAUUUAUAAAAUGGCAAUCUAGAUGCGGAAACGAUCUAACGGUAAAAAACUUACAAGUACCAAGUGCUUGUGCUUUUACAAGCACCAUAGCCGGACUCUAUAUAUAUAUAUAUAUAUAGAGAGUCCGACUACUAUACUUUUAUGAGUAUUAGCUCCUUUAUACUCAUAAAUUUUUGGCCCUUAGAUUUAUCCUAUUGAUCAUUUCCACCCGUUAAAUCAUACUAUUCAACCAACUACCCACUCAACCCUAGGGGACCACUAUUAUUCUAAGUGGGGACCACCAUCAUCCUAACCACACAUCCCAUCAAUCAACGGUUAAAAAUUUAUAAGUACAAGGGGGUCUAUACUCAUAAGAGUAUAGUAGCCCCAGCCUAUAUAUAUAUAUAUAUAUAUAUAUAUAUAGACAAUUGGACACUGCAGGUACUGCUUUUCUUUUCUUCUCUUUUCUUUUUAACUAAGUUUAGAUUUGAAACUAUUUGGGUUUGAAUCUUGAUGUUCCAACAUGAUAUGGAUUGGUGACAAAUCAUCUUAAUUUUGAGUGAAAUUCCAGGAAAUAUGAAGACCACAAAUUCUUUAUAUUUCUUGCAUUUUAAUCAAGACCACCAUUUUAGACUGCAAAAUCUUCCCUGGUGAGAUAUGGUGUAGCAAAAUUUGUCUUGGCUGCAUGUGGUCCUUUCGGAUCUGUGAGAUAUCCAAUAAAAAGAUUUUGUUCAGUGUUAAGGGAAAAUAAUAUUCAAGUUAUUUAGCCCUCCUGAAACUUUUAAAAAUCAAACACAGUUUGAGUUAGUAUUAAGAGCACCUGGGAUUCAAACUCUCAACCUCUUAGCUAGCUCCCAAAUGCAAAUGAAUGGGGUGCAUGUGAGUCUAAAUUGUAAUCUGUGUAAUCUUAAAACUGAUAAAAUUUGACCUAGUGGCCCACUUACUCUAAAUAAGGGCUUGUUUGAUUCAGUUAUUUAGACUAUGAAAUCAAAAUGAAAUUCAUUGAUUUCAAUAGCUGUUGUUUGUUUUAUAGGAAUCGAAUUUCGAUUCCGAUUUCACUCUUGAACGGAAAUUACCAAUUCCAUUUGUGGCCUAAUCUGAUUUUGAAUUCUGGAUUUGUCCAUUUGAAAGUAAACUAUUCAAAAUUUUCUUUCACCAGCACAUCCUCUCCUUUCCCUUCAUCACUUUUCUCUUUCUUAAUUAAAACUCUCUUUCAAAAAUUUUAGAUAUUCAUUCCAAUUCUCAUUCUAAUAAUGAAUCAAAUAUUUUUAAAUGAUUCACCAUUCUAUUUUUUAUUCCAAAGCAAUUUAAUUUCAUUUCUCAUUCCUAUUUUAAUCAUGAACUAAAUAUAUUCUAAAUUCUGUAAAGUGAUUUUAGGAUCAAAAGUGAUUUUUUUUUUUUUCAAUAAAGCAUUUAGUAAUCUCAUUUACAAAAUUAGAUUCUGAUUUUUAAAAUCAGUUUCCUGAAUUUAUCUCAAAUCAAUUUAGAAAAUUCACUUUCCAUCUAACUCAACCGAACGCCGUGCAGCUUUUAACUAAAAUUACAUGCAGAAAUCACUUCUCUAAGCCCCCGUUUGGUUGGAGGUUAAGGAGUGGAAUAACUCCUUAACCCCCAUAUUAUUCCCAAACAUCCUCAAAAAUGGGUGGGGUUAGCUAACCCCACCUCAAAUGGGUUAUCCCGGGUUAGCUAACUCCACGUCUCCACCUAACCCCAAUCAAACACCAUUUUCUAUUCAUAAUAACUCACUAUCCUUCUUAUCCCACCUACUCCAACCAAACACUAUUUUUUACUAUCCUGGACUAACUCCAACCUCCAACCAAACACAAAAAUACUCUAACCCCACCUUAAUCCUGAACUUAACUCUAUUUCUGGAAUAAUUAGUUUUUCCUUAACCCCGAACCAAACUUUAAUAAGUUUUCUAGGAAAGAAACAAAACUUUAUGGGGGGGAAGCUCUCCAAUGAAAAGGACAGAUGUAACUAUGUAAGCCAUUAGAUUGGAAUUUCGGUGAACCUCAAAAUAGAUAGGUGACCCACAUUGGAAAACUACCUAACAUAGUUUUAUUCAAAGGUAGAGGAAUGGUGAAAUAGAGAAUUAUAUAACUCUAAUUCCUUGAGGCGACAGUGGUUAGGAUAAAUUUAGAUUGAAUUUGAUAGAAUAUACAUAAAAAUGUCAAAAUUUAGCAUUCGAUAUAUAUUUGUCUUUGAAUUCGUAUUCAAAAAAAAUAAAAUAAAAAUGGAUGCGAAAAUGAUUUCUUAAAAAAUCCAAACGUUUUCCACCUUUCACCCCGUAGAAAUAAGAGGGAUGUUAAAAUAUAUUGUAGAAGAUAAAGUAGCCUCUAUCAUGUUCACCGCUUAUUUUAUUAUAAAUCUCAUAUUAAAAUUAUAUUUAUCUGUGUUAAAAUAUUAAACUUUAUUUAAUAAAAUAUAGGUAUGCGAAGUUUGAAUACGAAUGUGAACCUUUAAUAUCUUAUUCUCGCUGAUGUUAGUUUAUAUUUAUAUAUGUAUGUUAGUAUAUAUUAUUAUUUUAAUAAUAUCAUAAUACAAAUCCGACUAGUAUGGAAAUCUGAAUCUGUUUUUAGCUCGCAUGAGAAUUUCUAUACAUAUGUAUAUAGAGAGGGCUAGGCUGGUAUACUAUCGGUAGCACGGAGGUCUCUGUGCUACCAAAUUGUUUUCAAUGAUGCGGCUUUCAAAUUGACGAUCGGCUCCGUUAAACUUGGUCUACACUAUUAAAAAUAUUUGAAAACUAAAUUUCAUAAUUUUUCGACGUCAUUUGGGUAGUGAUCAAAAGGUCUCAAAAUUGACAAUUUUAAUGGUAGAUAUGAUGUGUUCGUGAAUUUAACGGCGUAAAAUAAUUCAAAUCUGAUGAAAUUUUUAUAGAAAUUUUUUUUUUCACUAUUUUGAGAAAGAUCAGUACCUCUGAUCUUAAAUUCAAUUUUUUUAUCAUCAUUUUUUAUGAGAUUUUUAUUUUCAGUCGUUCAUUUUUAGACUACUCGUUUGAUAGGUAAAUGAUACCAAAAAAUUAUGAAAUUUAGUUUUCAAAUUCUUUUAAUAGUGUAGAUCAAGUCUAACGGAGCCGAUCGUCGAUUUGGAAGCCGCAUCAUUGAAAACAACUUGGUAGCACGGAGGCUUCCGUGCUACUGAUCAGCCUGGCUUAUAUAUAUAUAGAGUUGAGCUGGAAUACUAUCGGUAGCAAACGGGUUUUAUUGCCACCAAUUUAUUUUUGAUGAUGGAACCUCCAAAUCGGUGAUCGACGCCAUUGAACAUGAUCUAUACCACUUGCAGUAUUUAGAAAUCAAAUUUCAUGCUUUUUCGAUAUUGUUCUCUUGUCUAUCAAAUGGACGUAAAUAUGAACAACUGAAAAUGAAUAUCCUCUAAAAAUAGAUGAUAGAAAAUUUGUAAUCAAGAUCGAUAGUAUAGAUAUUGUUCUAAAUAAUUUAAAGAAUUUUCUGACCAAAAUUCAAUUGAUUUGAAUAGUUUUACACCGUUAAAUGAGAAAACGUUUCAUAUCUAUCAUUAAAAUUACAAAUUUUGAAACCCUUUGAUCAUUAGGUCAAUGAUGUCGAAAAGAUUUGAAAUUUGAUUUCUAGAUACUUCAAGUGUUAUAGAUCAUGUUUAACUGUACCGAUCGUCGAUUUAAAGGCUCCAUCAUCGAAAAUAAAUGGAUGGUAACGGAGUCCGUUUACUACCGAUAGCAUUCCAGCUCAUCUCUAUAUAUAUAUAUAUAUAUAUAUAAUUCUUUUAUGAAUGCUUCUAUAAUUGGUGCUAUGAUGUAUCAAAUAUGGUAUAGAAUAUUAUUAAUAUGAUCUUAGUACAUAUGGCAUUGUGUUAGUUAUGGAUGGUUAGUGACUAUGGGUAGUAAAACAAUAGUAAAAGGUAUCUAAAAUAACCAGGAUCCUGCUAAAGAUAGAGACUUAGGCUUCGUUUGGGAUUGCGGGGAGAUUGCGUUACGUGCGGUGCGAAAGUACGUUGAAAAAAUAUCCUGUUUGUUUCCGUACGUAAUAUUACGUUCCGUAUAUCGCGAUGAGUCGGUUACAAUAUAUUUUCUGCGGUCCCACCGGAGAACGAGAAGUAUAUCUCUAUAUGCUUUUUUUACAACUCCAUUUUAUCUAAUGGCGUUACAUAGGCCUCAAUACCAAACUAAACCCUAAUUAUAUGACUCAACACAGGUAGAUAACCAUUUAAGUUGACGCUUAGUACUCAAAUUCCCCAGCUAAUUAAAAGUUGGUAUAUAUAGGUUAAAUGGAUUGUGCAAAUCUACUCGAAUACAAUUAAGAUAAAAAUUUACAGAACUUGUUUGAACUAUACAACAUUUGAAAUUGACUACCAAAUCUUUUGAAAAUUUUGAUUUUACUACUUAAUAUUUUAAUUUAUUUGAUUUAAGUCAUUCAACAAGAAAAAAAUACUUUGGUAAUAUCUAGAAAAAAAAAUAGUGCAAGACAGAAAAACAAAACUAAAUCUAAAAUACAACAUAAAAAUUAAUAAAGUAUAAUAAUAGGCUAAAUUAUUAUAAAUACCCUCUUUUACACUUUUCCUCUCUAGCAGCUAAAAAUCUACAUUUUAUUCUCUCAAUAUUUCAAGUUAUUGCAUUUAGCAUCUGUCCGUCAGUAUUCCAUCAUUAUUUAGUCUAUUUCUUAUAAUUUAUACCGAAAAUGUCAUUCAAAAUUAUAUAAAUAAAUAAAAAAUAAUUUUUUUCUUAUAGAAAAAGUAAGGAUAAUUUGGUCAUUUUGCCUUCUUCAUUAACACCAUAUCCCUCUAAAAAUAUUUUUGAAAUUUUAAUAGGGGCAAAAUAUAGAUUUCUGAAAGUAAGAGAGAAAAAGUGAAAAAUCAGAUAUUUAUAAGAAGAUUUUUUAUAAUUUAGCCAUAAUAUAAUAAAUAAAAAUAAUAUUAAAUUACGGUAUAGUAAAAUAAAAGGUAAUUAAGUCUUGAUUAAUUUUAAACCUGCUUUCAUAUUGGUAUUGCCACCACUACCACAUUAGUGGUUUUUUGAGAUCAAAAUAGUUGCUUUGCCUUAGAAGUAUAUAAUAGGGGAAACUUCAAAUAUCCCCCCGUGGUUUCAAGUGUAUCAAAUUAGUACCCUAUGAUUUCAUUUUGUAUCAAGUUAGUAUCCUGUGGUUUUAAUUUUUUUUUAUUAUUAUCCUUUUUGAGAUAUAUAAUUUAACGAAAUAUUAAACCACAGAGUAUUAAAGUGAGAAAGUGCGAAACCACAAGGUAUUAACUUAAUACACUUGAAACCACAGGGUACUAAAGUGAGAAAGUGCGAAACCACAAGACAUUAACUUGAUGCACUUUACACCACAGGGUACUAAAAUGAAAAAAUGUGAAAUCACAGGAGGAUACUUAAAAUUUCCCCUAUAUAAUAUAUAUUAAAAUAACAAUAUGUAAUUAAAAUUCCCAACAUUUUAAUAUAAAAUUAUUUUAUUAUAUUUCACAAUCAAAUUGAUUUAACAUAUCUCUCCUCCAAUGCUUGGACAUGCAGCUCCAAGUGGUCCUUGACAUCUUAUCCAGACACCUGACCGACACGGACAUUUCAAACCUCAAUAUAUUUUCUUCUUUAAAAUGGGUGAAUGAAAAUUAAACUAAAGCUAUGCUAAUUGUACAUUCAAAAAGCUACAUCUAUCAAAACAGUAUUUUUGAAAAUAAGAGAGAUAUCCUCCAACUUAUAUUCAAAUGUCAAAACCAAACUAGCGGAACAAAUUAUUUCGAUCAAAACGGAUUAUUUUAGAGUAAUCUGUUAAAAUUUGUUUCUAAAAAAAUUAGAAAAAACUUCAAAUACCACCCAUGUGGUUUUGUACUUUUUCACUUUAGUACCAUGUGGUUUAAAGUGUAUCAAUUUAGUACCUUGUGUUUUAAAAUGUAUCAAUUUAGUACCAUGUGGUUUCGCACUUUGUCAUCCAGUGGUUUAAAGUAGAUCAAUUUAGUACUUUGUGAUUUCAUUUUUCUUUUUUCGUCGGCUCCCCGGUUAAUAUUUCAUUAAAUUAUGUACAAAAAACUUCAGAUACCCUACCUUGGUUUAUCGAAUAUUUACUUUAGUACCCAUUAGUUUUAAUUUUGUCACUGGUUUUUUUUCUCUACAAAAUUUUAGAUAUCCUGCCUAGGUUUAUCAAAUAUUCACUUUAGUACCCUUUAAUUUUAAUUUUGUCACUGAUUAACAAGAAAAAUUAGUGAAAUGGAUAAAAAAAAGAGAAAAAUAAAAUCACAGGGUACUAACUUGAUACACUUUAAAUCACAAGGUACAAAAGUGAGAAAGUGCGAAACCACAGGGGCUAACUUGAUACACUUUAAAUCACAGAAAACUAAGGCGAGAACGUUUGAAACCACAAGGGGGUAUUUGAAGUUUACCCAAAAAAAUUAAGAACAGCCUUUCUUUCCUAUUUAUUUUAUUAAAUAAAUAGUUAUAUAAAUAAAUAUAUUAAUAUAAAUAUUAUUUUUAUGAUAAUAUAUUUUUUACUUAAAUUUUACUAUAUAAUAUAAAUUAAUUAAAUGUGAGAUUAUUUACUUUAUUAAGUUUUAUCAUUUAUAUAUUAAAUAUUAUUGUUCUAUUUUAUAUUAAGUAUUAUAUAUAUUAAAUUAUUUUUAUAUAUUAUAUUUAUUUCAAAUUUGUAUUGAAAUUUAUAUUAUUAUUAAUUAAAAUUAUAAGCAUAUUGUCAGUACUGUAUUUUACUCAUUACACAAGAUGAAUAAAUUAUAUGAAAUAAAUUGUUACACAAAUAAAUUAAAUAUGUUGAUAUAAAUUAAAUUGUAACAUAAAAUAUUUAUUAUAAAUUAUUAAAAAUAAUUUUAUAUAAAAUAUACUAAUAUAAAUUAAGAAUUUUUAUUUUUAAAAUAUGUUUAAAUAUUAUUCUUGACUUUUAAUCCAAAUUCUGCUAAGAAUAUCUUCAAGAAUAUUUCUAAUUACUGACCGUCCCUAGCGCAAGGCUUGGCAAGUGGCAAAGGGCUUGAUGGUUGGUACCGGAGAUCCUAAGUUCGAAUUCUAGUUGAUUCACAUUUUCAGGCAAAUUUAUUUCUAAAUAAAUGAAAUAAACGAAGCUGAUAGCAUACUGCUUAUCUCUCUCUCAAAAAAAAAAGAAUAUCCCUAAUUUAUUUCGAGAUAUUUUCUGUUAUCAAGAACAACAAAAGUUAUCCUCGAGAAUUCAGUUCCCAAACCAAAUGCAGCCCAAAUGAAUAGAAAUUUUAUAUGUUUUCGUCUAAGGAACUUACUUUUGAGUGUAUAAUGUCUAGUUUGGUAAAUUAGUAACUAUGAGCAUUAUUUUUUUUAUUAUAUAAAGAUACUUGUAAUUUAUUUUCUCUUAUAUUAUAAAAAUUAUGUUUAUCCUAUCCCGUCGCAAUUACAGCCAUAAUAAAAUAUUAAAGAAGGAAAUAGUCUAACCAUUUUUAGAUAUUUGUAAACUUUUUAUAAUAUAAAAUAAUAUUUUUAUUCAUCAUAUUAUCCAAGUAAAUCCUAAGUAUGAGGCAAAAAUUAUAUGGAUAUCAUUCCCAAACUAAAAGUUUGGGGGCGGUGCGGAUGGGCUCUGCGUGGCCCGCACGCACCCAUCCUCGCCCUCCCUUCCUCUCCGUCAGCUUCUUUCUCUCUCUCUCUAAAAAUUGAGACCCAUAUUUUUUUUUUCUUUUUUUCUCGUAGCGCCACGCGGUGUCCAUCGACAUCGUCUCCAAACUUUUAGUUUGAAAAAGAUAUUCAUACAAUUUUUUCCCCUAAGUAUGUAGCACCACAUCCACCACUUUAGAAUCUUCUCAGAUAUAUCUAUAUUUUUUCUCUUGGUGUACUUUUUUAAUAUAUAUGAUCGAAACAGGGAGAGGGGCACGCACGGGCACCGCAUGAGAGCAUGUGGAGUAGCGUUUAAAUUUUAUAUAUGUGGCCUUAUAAUAAUUUAAAUAUUUUAUAAAAUUUAUUAUUAUAAAAAUUAGAAACAUAAUUUUGAAACCCAUAAUUAUUGCAAUAAUAACAGAGUUUGCUUGUAGAGUUUUUUUUUUUUCUUUUUUUGCUUUUUGAUAAUUUGACAAAUAAAAAUAAAAAUUCUAAUUUAUUAUAUUAUUAUUCUAAUUAAGGGAUAAUUUUAUAAAUGCCCUUCUAGGGACUAUGAAUUUCAUCAAUACCAUUCUAAAAGUGAUAAAAUCGUGAAUGCCCUUCGAUAUAUCAAAAAGUAUCAUAAAUAUCCUUCAUUAGUUAAGUUUCGUUACCAUUUUGUGAAAUGGAGUUAUAUUUUUAAAAUGCCAUUUUUACCCUUCAUCUCUUAUCAACAGUAGAAAUACUAAUAGAUAUUUCAAGAUAAUUUUUGUAAAUCUAAAUUUGAAUUAUUAAAUUAAAUUAUUAAAAAUUAUUAAAAAAUAUAUAAAAAUUGUAUUUUAUAUAUAGUGUGUUUUUAUAUGAUUUUGGUUUUGUUUUCUGGCUUUGGAUUUCGGUUCAGAUUUGGUUUGGAUAUAGACAAAAAUCAUAGCUGAGUUUGAAUAUAAUGAGAUUUCUAUUCGGUAUCGAUUAAGUUCACCUCAUUCAAAAUUGAGUUCAGAUAGAAUUGCAUAUCUAUAUCAAUGCACAUUCCUAAUCAUUCCUAAUCAGUAAUAGUAAUUUUGAAAUAAAUGAUAGAUUUAAUUUUUUUUUCUAUUUAAUCAAAAAUAUAUCAAAUAACUAUAUGGAUGCAUUUUUUUUUGUCGAUUGAAAAAAAGAGAGUUUUGUUCGUAGGCUAAAAUAUAUUAUAUUUUAGUUUUUUAAUGUAUUUAAUGCAGAUAAAAUUAUUGAGAAUAAUUUUGGUUAAAAAAUUUUUUAAGCUUACAAGAUUAAAUGAAGAUAGGAAAAAUCCUCAACUUUUAUUUUUAUUUAAAUUUUUAUACAUAGUUAUUUAUUUGCUAAAAUUUAAAUAGAGCUACUAGAUUUGGUAUAAUCAUCAAAAAAAAAAAAACUUGAUAAAAUUUUCAUUUUUCAUACACUAAAAUUAGUUAAUUUUUUAGAAAACUAAAAGUUAAUGAGUUGUCAACUAAAAGAAUAAAAAUUGAGAGAGUAGUUUCAAAACGUCAUAUAGUUGAGGGGUCUCCAUACAUUUUUUACUUAAGAGAUAGUUAAGGGCAAAUAGGUCAUUUUAAAAAUUAAUCCAUCUUUAACCCUUUAAUAACUAUAGUAAAGCUAACACAACUAACAGUAGGGGCAUGGGUGAUAAUUUUUUGUGUUUGCAAGAAUAGAUAUGAUAUUUUAAAUUUUAUAGAGGCAUGUAUGAUAUUUUAGACUUUGGGAGGGGUAUUUAUGAAAUUGCCCCUCUAAUUAAAAGCGGGGGAAAAAGUUUUGAUAAUAACAUUUUCAAUCCAAUCUCCACCGUUGAAUUCAACAUCACGGACAAGAAAAGCCCGUGGGGGCCGAACAUCUGUACUUGGAAUCACGUGAAACACUCCAUGUAACAAUAACAUGUGCAUACAAACUCCCUCUAUUAUUCCGAUAUUGCAACUUGGUCCAUAUACUUUUUGGCCAAUUUUUAAACGGUUUUUUUUUUAAAAAAAAAAUCUACCAAUUUUUUUUUGUAAAUGAUGUUCUCUAAAUUUAUUAAAAUUAAAUCAAAAUGCAGCUCAUGUAAAAGCUGAGAUGCCAAAAUGUGUCAAAGCAAACUUUGCAGGGACUGAGUUGUAAUUUUAGGAUAGUACAGGUACUAUCCAUACAUUUUUACUCAAGUGCUGUAUAAAAGGGCUUGUUGGUGCCUGUUGCUGAAACCCACAAGUUGUUUAAAAAAAAAAAAAAAAAAAAAAACUUGGUUUUGAUCUUACGCAAAAGAAAUUAAAGGCUCUCUUCACUCCAGGUACCUCAUCAUCUUCUUCUACUAGAUUACUUUUUCUUUUCUAUUUGAUUAUUUUACUUUUUAAGAAUCAGGAGUUUAAUUCUACGCAUCUUAUUUCGUGUUUUUCUACGGAAUUCAGAAAUAUGCAAACAACUUCAAUUCUAAGCUCGUUAGAGAACUUUUGAGUCAUCGAGAACUGAAAUAGGUUUUGUUUAAGCGAUUAUAUUUUUACUCGACAGACCUAAAUUUAAAAUAUAUUUAGAUGUGCUAUUGCUUUAUAUGAAAUUAUAUGUAUGUAAUUGUUUAUCAUCUUAGAUUCAAAGGUAAAUUAUGCAUAAAGGCCCCCAGUUUAUCGCGGAGGAUCCACUUAUUCACUUUAAGGCUUAAAAACUUUUUUAACGUUGCGUAAAAUUUUUAGUAAUCUAUGUAUUUUUGUUUGACAGAGCCAUCGUAUAACAUAAAAUGUUGUUGCGUAAUAUAAUAUUAAAUUAAAUAUUCUAAAGUGUUCUUUGUUUUAGACUUAAUUGCAAAAUUUACAAACAUUAGAAUCCUCGAACAUAUAUUUGAAUUAUCUAAAAAUACAUGCUCUGUUUUUCCUAUCCCAAAAACAAUAAUAACUUCUAAUUCAACAACAAAAUAUAUAUAUAUAUAUAUAUAAAAGGGGUGAAGAAAAAAAAGGAGCUAAUACAACCAAUCAUUAAUUUGGAGACCCUCACUGCAAUUACGCGUUUUAAAAAAAAAUAAUCUGAGAAAAGAUCCAACAGUGAAAAAAAGCAUGUCUAAAUUAUUUGCUAAGUUAAAUUUUUGGUGUCGCGUGAUAUUAUAAAUCUCCAAGUUUAAAUUGUUAUAAUUUUUGGGUUUAAUUUAUUAAAUUACACUAAAAUCAAGUCCAGUAUCGUAAUUUAGUUGACCGUACAGUUACACGUCACUGGUGUGGUGGUGACGUGACAGUAAUUAAAAUACCACUUGACAUCGAUUUAUCAUCCAGUAAAUAAAAUUAUAUUAUUUAGUUGAUUAUAAUAAUUUAAAAAGUAUAUUAAAGUUUAAAAAAUGCGCGUCACUGGCCUUACAAUUUGGGGGCCAAGAGAAUAAUUCAACUUAUUCUAAUUCAGGAAGAGUGAGAUUAAAUAAACUCUUAUUUUAGGAUCAAAUCCCAUAUAAGGAUCAAAUUUGGGAAAAUAAAACGAAAAAUUAGUGGGAACAGCUCUCAACGUACGCAACACCGUCAUUUUAGUUGUUUAUUAUUGAUUAAAAUUGGUCAAAUUUUUUGUCCUAUAUAAGUCAUGAUAAUAGAUCCAAGAAACUAAUCAGUUGAGUCCAGUAAGUCGAGUGAGACUGUAGUUCAUAAUAAACUUAACGAUAAGAAAGCGGUCUAAUGUUCAGAUAGAUUAAGUCUAAUCGAAAUUCAUGAUUUUUAUAGUUGAGAUGUUAAAUGCAGUGGAUAUGAUUUUUUUUUUUUCCUUCUCAGUACAUACUUUAAAUAGUUGUUUUGGAUUUUGUUAAAUUUAGAUUUGAAUCGUGUUGACCAAUGAACAAAGAUCCGUGCCAGGAAAGUCAAAGCGAUUCGGAGCCUAAUGAACUAGAUCCGUACGAUCCGGGUCAAACAGUUCCGAUAUUUUUCACCCGUUUUUGGAAUUUGGUAAGGGUACCAUAGAAUAUACCCGAGAAACGUGCCCCGAUAAGUGAGUUAUUCGCCCGCCAAUCAUUGGAGACAAAAAUUUGGUGGACAUAAUCUCCAAAUUUAAUAUUUUAGAGAUUGUUCGGAUCAGCGUCAUAUGGUAAUUCAUAUCCAUCUCAAUCGUUUAAAAAAAUUUAUUUUUACUAGAUAAAAUAUUUUAAAAUGUUAUUUUUAUAGGGCGGUUGAGAUGAGUUCAAAAGUAACAUUUUAUCUAACAAAAAUAAUUUUAUUAAUUUAUAGAAAAAAAAUAUUUUUUUACACAUGUUACGGAACAUUCUAAAUUUAUUUAUCUAUUAAUUUCUGAUCUAUCUCACUUUUUUGAAUCCUAUUACUAAUUUUUAAGUUGACAAAAGAAAAUUUAAAAACUAUAUCUUAAAAGCAUGAGAAAUUCAAAAAUAAAACGGUUUUGCAAAUUUAAAGUAUUAGAUUUUAAUUAAAAAAAACAGUUAUCACUGAAAAAAAUUAUCCCCUGUUCAUUAAAUUUAUUAUUGGUAAUUUUACUAAUUUUAAUAUAUUUAAUUAUUAAUUAAUAAUAACUAAUAAUAUAGCUAUUAUAUUUUAUAAAAUUUCAAAUUAAUUAAAAUUUAAAAUUUUAAAUGAGAAGAUAGAAAGAAACACUAGGAGAAAGCUGAGGGGGCUCCGUGCAUUUUUACUCCUAUUUCGUUACACAUUCCUACUCGUUUUCAUGCGCGAGAAAGAACGUGCGAUCAUAAUAUAAACUCUCUCAUAUAUAUAUAUAUAUAUAUAUAUAGACUCUCUCUCUGUCUAUAAUCUAUAUAUAAGCAUAUGUACGCUGAAUCCGUUUUUUUUAUUCAGGGGUAGGGCGAGAGAGAAGAUGAUGUUGAGGAGCUCCUCCACGCCGAUUCUCGGCUCCCUCCUCUUCUCCGAAUCCCCCACCCACAAUCCCCACCACCACCACCACUCCUCCUCCUCGUUCCACCCCAUCUCCUCCCACCUCUCCGACCCCUCGGAUCGCUCCGCCGCCGCCUCCGGCGGGGUCCGCCGCAGCCGCUCCGACGGGAACCUCCACUCCCUCCUCCGUGACAACUCCGACGACCACCACCACCACCGCCGCGCCCUCAGGUGCUCCUCCUCCCGCCGAUCCAACCCCGUCCUCGAGCCGAUCCCCUCCUUCUCGGUGGAGGAAGCGGAGGACGAGGAGGAAGAGGAAGAGCCGCGGCGAGAGGAGCGGGAGAAGGGCGCGGGGGUUCGGAGGACGGCGUCGUUGGGUGGAGACUUCGCCUUCGCCUUCGCCUUCGCGAUCGAGGAUCGGAGCCUAGGGUUCGACGAGGAUCGUCGGGAGACCGGAUCGUCGUCUCCAUCGGCGGCGGCGGAGAGGGGCGGAGCCCGGGCCGCGAUGCCUCUGUUUCUGGCGCGGGGGCUCGGGAUCGAUCGGAUCGGGUCCGGGUUGUUGAACCCGGGCGGCAACGAUUGCGGCGGCAGCGACGGGUUCAUUGGCGGCUGUGGAGGCGGCGGCGGCGGCGACGGUGGAAGUUGUGGGGUGGUGACCGGCGGCGGCGGCGGCGAGCAAUCGGAUAUGGAGACGCACCACAAGAGGAUGGUGGAUGAGGAUCCGAGCAAUGCCCUGUUUCUGAGCAACUACGCCAAGUUUCUCUACCAGGUGAGGAGAUCAUUUACUUCUAUGUUUGAAGUUCUCAUUGUUGUAUUUGUGAAGUUAUAUAUACUCUUGGUAGAAUACGUAGUUAAUGUGAAUUAUUAGAUAUUGGUAGUAGAAUCUAAAGUUGAUCUGUUACUAGAAUGACCUCCCAUCGCAAUAUUUAUGCAUACAUAGACUACAAGAAAAUUUAAAUUUUGCAUGCUUUUAUGCAUAACUAUGCAUAGUUCCUGUAUCAGGUGAGGAGAUCCUGCCCUUUCUAUUUUAUAUUAUUAGAAUCAUUAUUAUCCUCUGAUUGAUGUUUAGAUUCCAUCUUUUUUAGGUGUCGUAUGAUUGUAUUCUUGAAGUAAUUAAAUACUUUUGGUAGAAUUUAUAGCUAAUGUAGCGUAAUUAAACAUUGGUGGUAGAAUCGAUGCUUGUUCUGUUUCUCUGUAUAUGUCUUUUCCUAGGAUGAAGUACCUUUCAGGUUUGCCGCAUUUUUGGUCAGGUUGUGGGCUCUAAGGCUUCAGUUUGAAAGAAAGAUAAAAUCCAUGCGAAUUUAAUGCUGAAACUGAUUAACGGUGUAUCCUACGGGGAAUGAAAAUAUAUGGCGAUUUUUCAAUGCUUGCUCUCUAUUAGGUUAAGUUGAGGCACAAAAUAUCUUAAUAAAUCUCGAUGUGAUGAAAGAUGGAUGCAGACCUUUAGUUUCUCAGUUACAAUAUCAUUCCAUACCUUUUCCAUCAAAAUCAUCAAUCAGUAUGGGUGAUUUUGGAUCUAAAACUCGAUUUACUUUUUCCUCUUCGACAUAAAUAUCUUAGUUAUCAUGUCUUUUCGUCUAAUCCCGUAUCACAGUUGCUGACGACUCUAAAGGAUUUGUUGACUACUAUAUUCAACUUCGAAAAUCGGUUGUCUCGUCUAAUGUUCUUAUUAUUUUACUAGGUGAAGUGUGAUAAUAAAAGGGCGGAGGAGUACUAUUCUCGUGCUAUACUGGCCGACCCAAGCGACGGGGAUAUCUUGUCUCAGUAUGCUAAAUUAGUCUGGGAGAUUCACCGUGAUGAGGAGCGCGCUUGUACCUAUUUCGAACGGGCAGUUCAAGCUUCCCCUCAGAAUUGGUAAACAUCUAAGUUCUUGUUGCAAAUUUAUUUUCCAUAUGUUUUUAGAUAAAUAUGUUGGAAAGAUAAUAUGAAUGGGCAGCACCUGAACUUUUGGUGAAUUACAAUAUCUUGCAAUGUCGUCCCUAGGCGCAUUUUCCGUCUGAAAUUUCCAGUGCCUGCUAGGAGUUGACCAUAUAAAUUAAUGAUCAAUGAAUAUAUUUGACAGCAAAUGAACAUAUAACGACGUUGUAAGAGAUUAGGCAAGUUAUGAACUGAGCCAUUCAAAUAAAGGAUCAGGGAGCAGAUUUCUUUGCAUUUUUAUAUAAUUUUACAUCAUAUAAAUAUCACAAGUCUGAAGUAUUUUAAUCUUCUUUAUCUUGCUACUACUUGUAGCCAUGUUCUUGCGGCGUAUGCUGCUUUUCUCUGGGAGACGGACAAUAGCGAUGGAACAGAAGACGGAGGCGGCAACCAAGCACAAGAUUUUGCUGGAUUAUCAUUUCAUCACGGAGCAUUGGCCUCCGCAGCUACUUAACCUCUACAAAGAGCAUUGGUGUUCAGUUGGAGCUAACACCAUUCUAUUAGGAAACUAACAUGCUAUAUCAUCUUUAUGCUCGGAGGAAUUUAUUUAGAACUUAUGUUAGCUUUCGGUAUAACAGUUUCUAGUGAACUAUGGUAUUCUAUCGGAAUAAGUAACACUUUGUUUAGAAAGUGUUAAAUUAUUUUGUUAAGUUCGUAACAACUUUGUUCUCUGGGCUGCGAAGAAAAAAAAAAAAAUGCAAGGGGAAGGAUGGUUUUAUUUGUGAACUUGUAAAUCCUCAAUAAAGAAAUAAAAGGAUCUUGUAGAGGUUUAGAGGAUCGUUGUCGCGGGGGUAAGCUUUGUGUGUGAUGACACAUUUGAUAGAGUUUGCUCUUUGUAAUAUCAUCAACAUGAUAUGUAUAGUUUUGUUUUUGCAUGUAAUGGGGAGUCUUAAUAAUAUUUACGAUCUGUCAUCUGGUAAUCUUCAGUAAUUCUUCUGAUUGCUUAUGAUCUUGAUGUUCGACUGUUGUGAAUUUAUACUUUCCGUCUCUGUCUGCCGCUUUUAUCUGGGUCGAUCUGAUAUAUAAUCAAUUUUAGUCUCCGGUCGAGCUCAUGAAUUCAUUUGUUGGUAAACUUCCCCUGAAGAUGGGUGAUAAACUAGCAUCUGUUUCAAUUUUUGUUGUUGGUGACCUAGCUAUGUAGUAUAUUCUGUGUUUAGUCGAGGUGCGGCACUAUUAAUAGCAAUUAAGCCUUUUGUGCUGUAGAUUUGUUCUUGAUGAUAGGGCAUCUAAUUUGAUGAUUGACUAUGCUGAAUAUAAUUUAGGAUAUUUAAAUAUUGUAUGAACCAAAAUUAGUGAGUGAUCAACUUGUGAAAAAAAAAAGAACGGAUUGAACAACUUUGUAAAAAUAAGAGAGAAAUUUUCAAACUAAAGAUUUAUGCUCGGGUAUCUAAUUUACAUGGAAAAUUAAUAAUGUCCCAUGUGUCUGCUCCAAGUAGGAUACAAAUGGAUCCGAGUUGGAGUUUUUUGGACGAUCCGUCCCGAAUGGGGCGCCGAAUGGGGCGGUAAGUGGGAGUAAAAAAUAUAGAAAAAUAUAACUCAUCCUGAUCUGCCGAGGUAAUGGAGUGGGAGGAGUUAGAUCCCUUUCUUCCUUUGAUCUAUCUGGAUCCAUCAAAAAUUCACUCCGGCUCCAAUUCACUUCAAAUAGAAUGAUAUAUAGGGGCAAAGAAUAGAAUUAAAAUUAACCCGUCUCAAAUCUGUCCAGAUCCGAUAAGAAAUGGAGCAAAAAGUGGGGGACUCCCUCCCGAUCCGUCCUGUUUGCAUCCCUAGCUCAAAGGGACUGCACGUGGUAAUGAAGACAGCCAAGUAGGGGUGUAAAACAGGUCGGGUAACCAGUAGGGUAGUCUCAUAGAAGAAUGCGAGCUAUGCUAUGAAGACAUAUAUUAUUUUCCUUAUAUUUUAUAGUAAUUUUUGAAAUUAUAAUUAUAAUUAUUUAAAAUUUACAAAUUUAUUAUAAAAAAUAUUUAAAAAAUUAUGUUUGUUAAAUAAAUAACUUAUAUAUUUUAUAAAAUUACUAUUUAAAAUUUUAUAAAAAUUAAAAAUUAAAUAAAUAUAAAAUUGAAGUUGCAGCUACCUACCACGGCCUAGUGGCCCAUACCAGUUCGGGUUAGGAGCCCAAAUUCCAAAAAAAUGGGUUUCGAUAUGGUAUGAAUGGACGGCCAAAUUGGCGUGGGUUGGUUUGGAGCAGUUUCCUCCAAGACGGUGAAGAAAAAGCCAACUCGUGUUGGAAUUGAAAUGAGAUCAACAUCAAUUGCUCGUUUAAUAAAUGAGCCAAACAUUAGCUGGGAUCAGCUUGCUCGUAGUUGGCUCUAUCCACAUGGCAUGAAUCUAUCGACGUUCCGUGUUGGACCCGCUCCAGGCCCAAUUCGACGUGAACUGGUUUGGAGCAGUUUCUUCAUUCUAAGAUGUCAAAUAGAAAGUCAAACUCUUGUUCGGAUCGAAAUGAUAUUGAGAUCAAUCGCUCCCUUAAUAAACAAGUCAAAAUCAGCUUACUUGUGUUCGGCUCGAUGGACUAUAUAUAUAUAUAUAUAUAUAGUCCGGCUACUAUCGUAUUAAUAGGAUUGGAGCCAUGGUCCUAUCAAGUUGUUUUGAUUGAUCGGAACUUCAAAUUGAUAAUCGGCACCAUUGAAAUUGAUCUACACAAUUAGAAAUGUUUAGAAACCAAAUUUUGUAAUAUUUAAAAAUCAUUAUCAAGUUCAUCUUAAGAGUUAAAAAAUGAACGGUCAUAAAUGAAUAACCUUCUUAAAAUAGAGGUUAGACUUUCUCAAUUCAUAGUCAGAAUUAUCAAACAUUAUCUAAAUAGUAUAAAGAAUUUUCUAUAAAAAAUUCAAGCAAUUUGGAUUGCUCUACACCGUUAAACAAGCAAACGGCUCAUAUAGGCCGUCAAAAAUUGUCGAUUUUACGACACUUGAUCACCAUGUAAAUAAUUUAAAAUUUAUGAAAUUUAGUUUCUAGAUAUUUCAAAUACUCUAGAUCAACUUCAAUGGCUCCGAUCAUCGAUUCGGAAUCUCGAUCAUCAAGAACAAUUUGAUAGGACAAGUGCUCCUAUACUAUUAAUAGGAUAGUAGCUCUAGCUAUAUAUAUAUAUAUAUAUAUAUAUAUAUAUAUAUAUAUAUAAUUGAGCUUAUAUGUUUUUAAAAACAUUAAGUCAUCGGUACUUAUGGGUUUUCAGUCUUUGGAUGAAGAUUUAUAGGGUUACGAUAAUAGUGAUCUUCUAAAAGUGAAUGGUUGGUGGCAUAGUGGGAUAAGGAUGAAAUUUGUCAAACAGAUAGAUCUAAUGAUAGAAAUCUUGCGGGAACUAAGUGCUGGGUGUUUUUAAAGCACCAUAGAUGGAUUCGUAUACAUAUAUGAAUAUAAAUUUUUAUUGUUUGGAUUUUAAACUAACCCAAAUAUAAAAAGAUCUAUAUUUUGUAAAUUUCAAUUAUUAUAUUAAGAUUUUAUUUUUUUUAAAAUUUCAUCCAAUAAUAGAUUUGAUAAUCUAAUUUACUGUUUGUGAGUCGGCUCGUUAAUAAAUAAGCUGAAUAGGAAUUAAAUUUUUUAGCUUGAUAUUUUAAUGGGUGUAGAAAGAAUAUUUUAAGGAUUUACUUUUCGACCUUCCUUGAGUAGCUUUGGGGUGUGUAUGUUGUUGUGAGGGUUCGGAGGUAGGGGUGGCAAUUUAGCUCGCUGUUCGCGAGCCAACUUGUGUUUGAUUUGAAAUGAGUUCGAGAUCGAAUUACUCAUUUAGUAAACGAGCUGAACACGAGCUGAAUUUUUCAACUCGUUUAAUAAACGAGCCGAACAUGAUAGGGUCAGCUCGCUCGUGUUCGGCUCGAUACCAGCUCGAAUAUAUAUAUAUAUUUAUUUUUAUAUAAUUUAUAUAUAUAUUUAUAUAUAUAAAUAAAUAAUUAUAUAUAUAAUCUAUAUAUUUUUAUUAUUUUAUUUUAGCAAAAAAAUAUAAAGUCGAACUUAAUUAUAAAAAGGCUCAUUCAUAUGUAAAAUUUCAACCGUUAGAUAAAAGUCUAAUAGACAAAUUUUUAUAAAUUUAUUUUUUAUAUAUAUGUAAUUUAAUCAAUUUAACUUAUUGUUCGUUGGCAAGCUCGUGAGCCAGCUCGUAUUUGACUUAUUUAUUAACGAGCCGAAUAUGAACUAAAUUUUUUGAUUCAAUAUUUUAAUGAGUCAGCUCGUGUUCCACUCAUUUAUUAAAUAAGCCGAACACAAGCAGGCCCCAACUCGCUUGUGUAUGGCUCCUUGACACCAUUAUUCUAGGCAAACCAAGCAAACCUACUGCCCAAAGUCAAAAACCCAAAAAAAUAAUAAUAAUAAAAUCUAGGAGAGAGGGCUUGUCUUGUUAUACCCUUCGUUCUGUUGCUUGUCUUGUUUUUUAGCGGGCUCUUCCUUUUAUUACUGUUUGUUAAUUGUCUAAGCGUCCUCUCGAGGCACAGACUGCCUUACUCUAUGUAGCUGAUUUCAUCUACUUAGCUACCGUUUGGUUCGGGAUUAAAAAAAAAUUAGUUAUUUUAAAGAUAUGAUUAAGUUCAGGUUAAGGUGGGGUUAGAGUAUUUUUUUGUAUUUGGUUGGGGGUUGGAGUUAGUACAGGAUUAAUAGUUGGAGUAGGUGGGAUAAGAAGCAUAGUGAUUGGUAAAGAAAUAAAAAGACGAAAAUACCCUCACAUUAAUCUAUUGAAAUAAAAGCUUUUAUUUUUUUAAUUUAAAAUUAUAUGAUUGUAAAUAUUUUUGAGGAGUAAAAUUAAAUUAAUUUUAGCGUAAUUUUGUACCAAAAAAUAUUUUUCACUACCUUUUUGUGACUUUGAAAAUACCUAAAAUUUAGAAACAACUAUUUUAAAAUUUUUUUAAGUUCAAAUUUCACGAACAUUUGCAUUUCACGAACUAUUUUAAUAUUUUACUUACAAUUACAUUUUAACCCUCAAAAAACACUAAUUUUCAACCUUUUAAAAUUUUAAUAUUAAAAUUUUAAAUUCUAAAAUUUAUAAUUUAAAAAUUAAAAUUAAAAAUUUUAAAAUAUUAAUAUUAAUUUUAAGAUUACAAAUUAAGCAUUUUAAAAAUUUCAAAUAUAAAAUGUAAAAUUUCAAAUUUGAAUAAUUUAAAUUUAAAUUUUAAAUUUUAAAUUUUAAAAAUACUAAUAUUAGUUUUCAGAUUGCAAAAUAUAAAUUUUUAAAAUUUAUAAUUUAAAAUUAUAAUUUUACAAUUAUAUGAAAAAUUAAAUAGGGUAAUCCCACCCCUAUUCUUGGGGUGGGGUUAGCUAACCCCACUCAUUAUUUGGGAUGUUUGAGAAUAAAUUAGGAGUUAAGGGGUUCUGAUUCUCCUCAAUAAAUACCAGCUUAAUGAAUGUAGCAGGUAGCGUGCUACUUUUCUCUCAGAAAAAAUAAAAUCUAAAUAAAAUCAAGGGGAGAGGGUAAUUUCGUAAUUUCAGACAUUGCCCACCGGCUUUGGUCGGUCUUUCUAUUCUCCUCUCUUAUUAACCCGACCUUUCACCUUUUCUUUUCCCUUAUUUUUUUUUCCAUUGUAGAGCGUUCGAGCCGCGCGAAGCUCGGCUCUCUCCUUCCUCUUCACUCGCACGGGGGAAACCCACUCUCGCUGUCGCUAGGGUUUAUCUCUCGAUCCCCUGCUUCGGCCUUGCAAGCUAGGGUUUUGGGAAGGCGAUCGAGAGCAGGUUCGGAUUGACCGAUCGAAAGAGCUAGGGUUGUGUGACGGGGGAAAGGAGGAGAUGAUGGAGGAGGAGAACGCGGGGAUGGAGAUCGAGGAGGACGAGGAGGAGGAGAUCACGCAGGAGGACGCGUGGGCGGUGAUCAGCGCCUACUUCGAGGAGAAGGGCUUGGUGCGGCAGCAGCUCGAUUCCUUCGACGAGUUCAUCCAGAACACCAUGCAGGAGAUCGUCGACGAGUCCGCCGACAUCGAGAUCCGUCCCGAGUCCCAGCACAACCCCGGGCGCCAAUCCGAGUUCUCGGAGGUGCGAUACCCCCACUUCUUGGGUCUCAUCCUUUGCCCUUUAUUGUCGGAUUAGGGUUUUGGUGGGAGUCCGUGAGAAAAGGAAGGAUCCGUGCUUCGCAAUCGGGAGGAUGAUGGUGAAAAAACUUGAUUUUGAUGGCCUCUUGAGCGAUUUUGAUAGAAGUAUUCGGCCGUUCUUCUUCUAAUUCUAUGACGAAGGAGAAUUGAAAGGGGAUUACUAAUUUUUGAAAACUUAGAAUGACAACAAAACCAUUAAAGAAGCAAUGAUGAUUCGAAGGGAGCAUUGAAACGCUAGAUUAUCAAGCUUACAAAAUCAGCCAACCUCUCCUCUUCUUGAGGAGAAAAGGAGAAGGAAACUCAGAAAACGAGAACAAUUUGAACUGGAAAAUUUGGUCAUCGUUGUAAAAAGAAUGAUUUAGUUUCCCUAAAGAAAGAAGUGGCCUUAAGCUGUUCAUAGGUCUCAUGAAAACCCCUAAUGAAAUCCUAUGAAUUAAUGUGGAAAGAUGUUUCCUGCCUCACAAAGAUAUUUAUUGUAAUUGGGUUAUUGAAAUUUUAUUUAUUGAUAAUAACGCAAUUUACAUGCAUCAAAAAGAUAUUUUAUUUGUCAAUGACUCAGUGGGUUCGAAGGUUAGGGUUGAAAAAAAAACUGAAGUACUAUUCUGGUAACGAAGAAAAAGUUGGAGUAGAAACAAUUGAGCGAUCUUUUUAUUACCGGAGUGUGUUUUAUCGUUCAAAAAAAUCGACCUGUUUAAUCUUUGAGCAACAUGUUGGUAUUGGAUAUUCUGCUGAUCAUGAACUUUGUGCCAGUUAGCAGUAUUAUCUUGAUGUAAUUGAUUCUAGUGUAAGAAGGAAAAGUCACCAGUGUUAAUAAUGCUUUAUAUAGAGGUGCUUACCUGCUUCUUUCCUUUCCUGCUUUUAGUGCUUGUUGUUAGAGGUUUUUGCUGAUAAAUUUAUGCCCUUAUUCUUGUCUUCUUUAUUUUUCCUUUUGAAUUUAUAAGUUUAAUAUAUAUCUAUAUGGUUUGGCAGACACUGCACAAGAUUAGCUUUGGCCAGAUAUAUUUAAGUAGGCCUAUGAUGACUGAGUCUGAUGGAGAAACUGCUACCUUGUUUCCAAAAGCUGCAAGGCUUAGAAAUCUGACAUACUCGGCCCCAUUAUAUGUUGAUGUAACUUACAGAGUUGUAAAGAAAGGACAUGAUUGUGAGGAGGUCACGGAGACUCAGGAAUAUCCAAAAGUUUUUAUUGGAAAGGUAAUGUCUGACAUCAAUUUUCAUUUCUGCUGGUUGAUGUUUGUAAUAUGAUUCUCACACAGAGCUGUUUUGUUUUUUUUCCCUAUCAUAGGUUCCUAUCAUGUUGCGGUCCAGUUAUUGCACAUUAUAUCAGCAAUCUGAAAAAGAUUUAACUGAACUUGGAGAAUGUCCUUAUGACCAAGGUGGAUACUUCAUAAUUAAUGGAAGUGAGAAAGUUCUUAUUGCGCAGGAGAAGAUGAGUACCAAUCAUGUCUAUGUAUUUAAGAAAAGACAGCCUAAUAAGUAUGCCUAUGUGGCUGAAGUCCGGUCUAUGGCGGAGAACCAGAAUAGACCAGCUAGCAGUAUGUUUGUCCGAAUGCUUUCUCGCACUAGUGCAAAAGGGGUCAGUACAUUUCAUUUUUAAUCUGAUGAGUAGUUUCUUUUUUCCUUUUUUUUCUUUUUUGGUCAAUUUGUCUUGGUUUCUGGGUUAAUGUUCUAAUUUUGGCAAUUAGCGUAGUAAAACAUUUUAGACGUUAUGAGUUUCUCCACUUGUGUACAGGGCUCCUCAGGGCAGUAUAUUCGAGCUACCCUUCCGUAUAUUCGAGCAGAUAUCCCGAUAAUUAUUGUCUUCCGAGCAUUAGGUUUUGUUGCUGACAAGGACAUACUUGAACAUAUAUGUUAUGACUUUUCUGAUACACAAAUGAUGGAAUUAUUAAGACCAUCUCUGGAGGAAGCAUUUGUUAUUCAAAAUCAGCAGGUAAUUUUCAAGUACCUUUUCUUCUAUAUUCUUGAUAAGGAUCAAAUAAAGUUGUGAAUUGCUUUAUAUGCUUUUACAAUCAAUGUGGCCUCUGGAUCUUUCUUUCAUGAUGAAUAUGUUUGAAAUUGAAAGCUGCAUUACUCAUAUUUUUUAUCAGGAAUAUACAAUGCGGUAAAAGAAGUACACAAUAUGCUCUUUGUUUCCAAAUCAAUCUGUUUGGGGUGCUUAUCUUCUCAAAUUGAGAACUGUGAAAACUUGAGCCGUAACUAUGUAGUCUGUUAGAUUGCUAUGAAGAGACAUAAUUUUGUAUGUAUUCGCUGUAUAUCUUGGACAUGCAACUAUGCUGUGGUUUACCUGCUAGUUAUGCAGAUAUGAUAUUAUGUCCAUUUGAAAUUUGUUGCCUUUGUCAUGAUGCCCUUUUGCAAUUGUACUUUUUGCUGCCUACUUAGUUUUGUUUGAGUGUUACUUGUUUACUCACAUGCCACUUGUCUCACCAGGUGGCAUUGGAUUACAUAGGAAAGCGCGGGGCAACUGUCGGUGUCACGAGGGAGAAGAGAAUUAAGUAUGUUUUGACAAACUAUCCAUUAAUACCUCGUAGUUGGUUAAGGGUGAGUUUUUACUAUGGUUAAGGGUAAGUUUUUUCCUUUUGCAGGUAUGCAAAAGAAAUCCUUCAAAAGGAAAUGUUGCCUCAUGUUGGUGUCGGAGAAUUCUGCGAAACUAAGAAAGCAUACUAUUUUGGGUACGUUACUUAUCUUUCUUCCUUCCCUUUGUUAGCUGGAAAUACAGUUUCUAACUUUCUUUUCCUUUUAUGAAGGUACAUAAUUCAUCGUCUCUUGCUGUGUGCCAUCGGCCGGAGGCCGGAAGAUGACAGGGACCAUUAUGGCAACAAAAGGCUGGACCUUGCUGGUCCCUUACUUGGAGGCCUGUUCAGAAUGGUUUGUUAAUGAUUACGUUUGUGAAAUUGGAGUCUGUAAUAAGACUUCAGUGGUAAUGUUCUCUUGUUUUUGCAAAUGCAGCUUUUCAGAAAAUUGACAAGGGACGUGAGAUCGUAUGUUCAAAAGGUACCCUCGUUUACAAAAUGUUGGUAUUUUGUAGCUUCUGAAUAUAUAUAAGCAACUUGUACUAAUCUUGUAAUUCUACAGUGUGUAGAUAAUGGGAAAGAAGUAAAUCUUCAAUUUGCUAUCAAAGCAAAAACUGUCACAAGUGGUCUCAAGUACUCUCUUGCUACUGGAAAUUGGGGGCAAGCAAAUCAAGCUGGUACAAGAGCAGGGGUUUCCCAGGUCUUACACGUUUUCAUAUCUAAAUGUUUUCCUUUUUUUCUUUCAUUUUCACUUGUUUUGAAGUCCCAUGUUUUGGUUUUGUUUGUGUCUACUUACAGGUGUUGAAUCGCCUGACAUACGCAUCUACACUAUCUCAUUUACGGAGGUUGAACUCUCCAAUUGGGCGUGAAGGUAAAAAAAUGAUCUUAUUAGUGCUAUUAAACUGAAGGCAUCCUUUUAUUUUCGGGACUUUGAGGAAAAUCUCCUGAUUAUAUCUUUAGGGAAGUUGGCAAAACCUCGACAGUUGCAUAAUUCUCAUUGGGGAAUGAUGUGUCCUGCUGAAACACCAGAAGGACAGGUUUGUAAUAUGCAGCAGUGAAAUUGUUCUGGAAUUUGCAGUUGCAAAUAUAUCUGCUAAGUGAUAAUUCACCUUAUAGAUAGUAAGGAUUGAUUGUAUAGCCAAUCAUAAAUUUCAGAGCAUUGUGCACUUUGGAUAAUAUAUGAUGCUUCUACUUGUGGUGGUAUCAGGCUUGUGGAUUGGUGAAAAAUCUUGCUUUAAUGGUGUAUAUCACUGUUGGAUCGGCUGCAAAUCCUAUUCUGGAGUUCUUAGAGGAGUGGGGCACUGAAAACUUUGAGGUAUGUUUUUCUUAUUUCGGGAUAUUUUGCAAAUUAUGGGUAUCUUUUGUUUGUUUGCGUGCUUACUGUCUGGUUUAACUGGUCUUCCAUGCUUGUGUCCUCAUAUUAUUUAUCUUCUCAUCGACAUUUUUAUUGGCUGUGCUUUUUGUAGGAAAUAUCACCUGCUGUUAUUCCUCAAGCAGCUAAAAUUUUUGUUAAUGGCUGUUGGGUUGGUAUUCAUCGAAACCCUGACCUCUUGGUCAGGACCUUGAGACGUUUGAGAAGACAGGUUUGCAUUCCCAACUUUCACGUCCGAAAGGAUAUCUUGUCCUUUAGUUGCUUAUAUCACCUGUAAUAGUAAAGCAUUGUGAGUGACUGUUGUUGGUGUAAUACGGAAUAUUCAAAUUUAAUGGUGCCUGACUUUUUAUUGUUGUAAAACUUAACCUUAGAACUGCUGUCUUAUUAUAAUUUUACUUUAUCAGAUUGAUGUCAACACUGAGGUUGGAGUUGUACGAGAUAUUCGUCUUAAGGAACUACGCCUUUAUACAGACUACGGUCGCUGCAGUCGGCCACUGUUUAUUGUUGAAAAUCAAAGGCUGCUGAUAAAAAAGAAAGAUAUUCGAGCCUUGCAGCAGAGGGUCUGAUGUCCUAAAAGUUCAAUAACUUAUACAAGAUUAGCAGUUGUAUACACCCAUGGAACUCUAACUGUAGUCAUCUACUUAUAUUUCUCCAGGAAUCUCCAGAAGAAGGCUGGCAUGAUCUAGUUGCAAAAGGAUUCAUUGAAUACAUUGAUACCGAAGAAGAAGAAACUACUAUGAUAUCCAUGACUAUUAACGUGAGUUUUUUUGUAUUAUUAUCUUUUCCUGCCCUUCGAAAGAACCUGUCCGAAUUAAAAAAAUUUAAAAAGCUUAUACAGUUGAUCAUUCUUAUAUUUGGCACAAUGUUUGGUGCAAUGGCCUUGUAAUUUAAGUCUUGUAAAUAUUUUAGGAUCUUGUGAAUGCAAGACAAAAUCCUGAUGAGGCAUACUCUGAAACUUACACCCACUGUGAGAUUCAUCCAUCUUUGAUAUUGGGCGUCUGUGCAUCCAUCAUUCCUUUUCCAGACCACAACCAGGUGAUCACUAUCAAAUAAUAUUCAUUAGCCUUUUUCUAUCCUACUCCUCUUUUCUUGUUUUUAUUUUUUAUUUUUUAUUUUUUUGUUCAGUCCCCUCGUAAUACAUACCAAUCAGCAAUGGGCAAGCAAGCCAUGGGGAUAUAUGUUACCAACUACCAGCUACGAAUGGUGAGUCCAAGCUAUUUUAGUGACAUUUUAGUUACACUUUGUUUAUUCUGUCAGUUGUAAUAUGUAUUACUCGGUUGCUUGAUGCAGGAUACAUUGGCGUAUGUUCUAUAUUAUCCACAGAAGCCUCUUGUUACUACUCGUGCAAUGGAGCAUUUGCACUUUAGGCAGUUGCCGGCUGGCAUUGUGAGUGAUUGAUUAUUCUUUGCUAUCCGUUAUUUCCUUAUAUUUGUGAUCAAUUCUAAAAUAUAUUCAUCUACCUAUAAUUAUUUCACUGCGUGCACAUCUGCUGACAACCUUGCUUUGAAAACCUAUGAAGAAUGCGAUUGUUGCUAUUGCGUGUUACUCUGGAUAUAACCAAGAAGACUCUGUUAUCAUGAACCAAUCUUCAAUUGAUCGUGGGUUCUUCAGAUCAUUAUUUUUCCGUUCUUACAGGUAUGGUGCCAAAAAUUCUGAUAAUUCUUCAUUCUGUUUUCUGUUUGUUUCUGAAUGACAAGAGUGCUUACCCGUGACGUCUGUGACCACCUUGUCCAGAGACGAAGAAAAGAAGAUGGGUACUCUGGUUAAAGAAGAUUUUGGGCGCCCAAAUAGGGAGAACACUAUGGUGAGCUUGUUCAAAAUGGAACAGUUUGGUUCUUCAUUUUUCAUUCAACUGUACAUUAAACUUGUCAUUUGACCAGGGAAUGCGUCAUGGAUCUUAUGACAAAUUAGAUGAUGAUGGUCUUGCGCCUCCGGUAAGAUUUUGUAGUUUGCUGAAUCUAUCAUCCUAUUAGGCAACAUAAAACCAUUUGGUUUUCUAAAUGAAAAUUCAUGGAAUCAGGGUACAAGGGUAUCUGGUGAAGAUGUGAUUAUUGGAAAGACAUCUCCAAUCUCACAAGACGAUUCUCAAGGACAAGCUUCGAGAUACACUAGGCGUGAUCAUAGUACAUGUUUACGUCACAGUGAAAGCGGGAUGGUUGAUCAGGUUUGCCUUGUGUUUGCAUUGGUUUCUUAUGUCAUUCACUCUUUUAUAUAGCAGCAGUCCAGUUAUAUAUGAAUCUUGAACGCUUCAUACAGGUUCUUCUAACUACUAAUGCUGAUGGCUUGAGAUUUGUGAAAGUGAGAAUGAGAUCAGUUCGGAUACCCCAAAUUGGAGAUAAAUUCAGUAGUAGGCAUGGACAAAAGGGAACUGUCGGAAUGACUUAUACACAAGAGGACAUGCCAUGGACCAUUGAAGGCAUAACACCUGAUAUCAUUGUGAAUCCACAUGCCAUUCCUUCUCGUAUGACCAUCGGUCAGCUUAUUGAAUGCAUUAUGGGGAAGGUUGCUGCCCAUAUGGGGAAGGAAGGAGAUGCUACUCCUUUUACUGAUGUCACGGUAAAUACAUUUCAGAUGUUUUGUGCAUUAUUCAGUUAUGCGCAAGGCUGCUAAAUCCUCUGAACUGAAAUUAUGUUAGCUAAGAAAAUGUUAUUUAGUGGUCUGGUGUCUCUGAUAUGUCCGUUCAAGAGCAAUGAUUUUCGGCAAUAACUUAAAAACAAAGUAACUUGACAAAUGUAAAGCAAUAUUUGUUGUCACCCUUGGAAUUUGGAACAUAAAUGUGUAUUGCAAUCUUUUUAGGUGGACAACAUUAGCAAAGCUCUUCACAAGUGUGGAUACCAAAUGCGAGGGUUCGAGACCAUGUACAAUGGUCACACUGGUAGGAAAUUGACUGCCAUGAUUUUCCUUGGCCCCACGUACUACCAGAGGCUGAAGCACAUGGUGGAUGAUAAGAUCCACUCGCGAGGGCGCGGGCCUGUGCAGAUCCUCACCAGGCAGCCCGCAGAGGGGCGGUCCCGAGAUGGCGGUUUGCGUUUUGGCGAGAUGGAGAGAGAUUGCAUGAUUGCACAUGGGGCUGCGUUCUUCUUGAAAGAAAGGUUGUUCGACCAGAGUGAUGCUUAUAGAGUCCAUGUAUGUGAAAAAUGUGGACUCAUUGCCAUUGCUAACCUUAAGAAGAAUUCCUUCGAGUGCAGAGGUUGCAAGAAUAAAACUGACAUUGUUCAGGUGAGGACUUAGUCCCUGGCAUGCCUUACUAUCUUUAUUUGAUAGUCACCUGCUAAAACUAUAGGCCAUUUUCAGAAGCCAUCUGAACUUGAUGUUUUUUUUUUUUGUUUUUUUAGUUGACAUAAGCUCGAUUUCUGCUCGUUUGAUUUGAGUUAUUGCUGGAAAUUUAAAAUGGAAUUUUUGUUUGAAAUUAAUGACUUUUUCUGCUGUCAGCUGUUAGUUGCUAGUGGAACCCGUAACUCCUUCAGCUGAAAUACGGGCCCAAAGAAUGCCAUAGUCCCCAAUUCUAUUGAAUGAUUAAAAACUCUUAUCACUAUGAUAGAAAAUUGAGGGGGCUUCAGCCAAAAAGUUUCUGAAAAUUUGCUAUGCUAUACCAGUUUCUGCAUUUUGUUUCCAGAUCUUUUCUACUGUUUCAGUCUACAUAGUUUUUUCUUUGUCAUGAUGAUUGUGUUCCAUAACUAGUCAAAAAAAAUAUUGAUACACUGAGUCCUUGUUGAGUGCUUCGAAUAGCAUAUGAAUAGUGCAUGUUAUAGAUUUUUUAGUCCUUGGAUCAUUACUAGUACCACCACCUUAUAGUAAACCCUCCAAUAGUAAACCCUGGGCAUCUGAGUGUGAAAAAGUUGGUAGCAUGUACUAUUUACAUGUUAUUGGAAGCAUUCUCGCUGGAUGGUGGAGACACCAAUGCUUUUCAGUUGGGAAUUCCGACAUGCAAAUUCUUAACUAUUCGGAUGUUUAACAAAAAUGGCUGUUCUCUGAUUUGCAGGUGCACAUACCUUACGCAUGUAAGCUGCUUUUCCAAGAGCUAAUGGCCAUGGCUAUUGCUCCCAGAAUGCUCACAAAGGAAGAGAAGCCAUCCAAAGAUCAAAAGAAGAAAUGAGCAUAAAAUUAGCCAUCCAAAGAUCAAAAGAGGAAAUGAGCUUAAAAAUACUGUAGUAUCUGACCUCUCCUAUAGAACAAAAAGCAUGGGAAGUACCAGCUUAAACUGGAUAAGGGGAGGCCCAAUUCCGAGAACGGUAUAUGCAUUACUUCUCAACACUAAUCCCCAGUGCACUCAAAAGGGCAUGAAUCUGAAAGUCACCGCCGCAAAUAGAAUACUUCAAUUGGCUGUGUAGUUUAGAUGGUGGCACAAAUGUUGCAUCUUCGUCUUUAUGGCAAGGACAUAACAUUUUGACUUAGGGACUUAACUAUUUUUGGUGUUUAUAUGAGGGUUCAUAAUCUUUUCACGCAUAUCUUUGUGUUCAUUUCUAGUGGAGAAUCCUCUUUUACUGUAUGCUAUAGAGAGCCUACGGAAGAUGUAGCUGCUUAGUAAAAUCUAUGCUUGCUUCAUUGGGUGUUAUUCCUCUUGUAGAGCCAAACUGUUGAUUUUAGGUGCUUUUUGAACUUCACAGGUUCGAUGUAGUAGAUUUGUUGAAAAACACAUGUAUCAUUUCCUAUUUAUUUGAUUACUCGUGUUGUGCGCGUAACUUGUUUAUGUAAUGAGAAUAAUGAGACUGAGCCCCUCUGUGUAGUGUGUAUCUUGUUAGUGAUGGGAUAAAUGUUGACUAAACAUUCGGAAGAUUAAAUAUGAUGUUGCGUUUCAACUCUCUCUCUCUUUCAAAACAAAGGGUAUCCAAUGCUUAAGAUUAAGUGCAAUGAAUAUUUGCAAUUUAACACCAGGAUGAAGAUUAUCUUUGCUUGAUAUUUGAUGAAUUGAUAUUUGAUGAAUUGCUUAAAGGGCAGGUUCUCCCUUGCUUCUUGUUUCUGAAGUGACACUUCAUUAAGGGAUGUUUUUUGGAAAUAUGCUCUACUCUUUUUCUGAAAUCGUCGCAAUAGCUGCCCACUGCAGUUGAACUAGAAACUUUAAAUUAGAGUUUGUGCUUCUAGUUUAGUAAGUUAAUCUUAAUUUUCUGCUGUAGCAACACUGCAGGAUAUUUUGUUUGUAGAACACUCGCAUGGAAAAGCUGUUUUAAAAGUCGGACAAAAUAAGCCAAAUAGUCACAAGUAAACCCAAAAAAAGCUAUUAUUGUAACCCCAUUGAGAUAUAUAUGCCAAUCACAAUGGCAUAGUCCCCUUCAACAGUAGAAUAGAAUAGGGUCAUUCCUCAAUAAUCUCCUCGAGCAUCAGAUAUUGAAGUGCUAUCGAGUAUCUGGCGAUCGUCGCCUUCUCUUUGCUGCUGCCGGGGACGCUGUUAGCCUUUAGCAUGUAUGAACCUGAGCCAUCACCUUUUAACAACGAAAACGAGAGAUCAUUUAUCACCUUAACAAUGCAAAAAUAUGAUUAAAGGAAAAGCAUAUUUUGUGCCUAUCUGUAAUUUCAUGAUACUUCAGACAAAUUUAGGAAAACUGGGUUCUAACCAGAGGGAAUAAACUGAGUUGAAGGGACAAAAGUCAAGUCAAUUUACAUGAGAGAAUUCCAAAAACAGGCACAAAAAGCUAAAUCUAUCCUAUAUACAAAACAGCAGGUCUAUUAGAUUCCUGUAGUCACUUUCCCUCCCAUGUUUACCCUAAACUCCCUUUAACAAAAGUAUGCCAGUAGUAUUUACAGAUUUUUUUUUUUUUUUUUUGGUAGAUUAUUAAACUUACAUUUAGGAAUUGGAGAGUAAAAGGCAAGUAAACACAGCCAUCAAAUCAAAUGAUGUCUUGAAUUCACGCAAAAACAAGGAUUUCCACAUCAGAUUGCAGGGAAAAAAGGGCAUAAUGUUGAAGCAAUCUCUUGAUAAACUCGAUCGUUUGGUCACCGUAAAAACAUUUUCAACAGAAUUAUAAGAUAAAGAUGUAACAGAAGCACUUGCGAUGCAAAUGUAAAACAAAACAGCAUUAUGCAAUCUCACCACUUCAGUGCCAAAUAUCAAAAUGAAUCACAGACCACGCAAGUUUACCUCUAAUUGUAAAGAUGCACUUUAUCCAUCGCUUAUAAAUGAAUAACAAUCUAGGCGUGUCGCCCUGGUGUGUAUCAGCGAGUAAAAGAGCGCACGUCCCCGUCGUUUGCAUUCUCCCGCUGGGAGAAAUACAUUUCGAGUUAUGAACCAUGUACUAAAUAAUACAAGAAAACUUUCACACAUUCGCUAGAUGAAAUAAAUUCGAUGUGUAAUUAUUAUAUAUUAUUAAGAGUUCAGUGAACUUUUACUUUGCAUGUGCAAUAGCAUCCUGGCAUAGGGCCAACGUCCGAACCAUGGCUAUGUCUCUACCUCUCGCAUUGGCGUAUCUUUGUUGACAAAUCCUGUAACAUUUGAACAUCAUUAUAAAACACUGUGAAACUAUGUUUUGCUAAGACAAGUGUAGUAGUAAAGAUGGACAGUAGGGUUUCUGAAAACUAAACAGGAAUACAGACAAAUAGAAGAUAAAAUUGAAGCAGAGACAGGAAGAUUUGAUGCAGAUUUGGAUACGCGCAGCAAUAACUCAGCUAGUAAAUUUAGCAACUUCGCAGUGAAACUUUUCACUCUUGCGAAGAAACAUUUAUGUCAUGCAAAUAAUUAUUGUUGAAGCUGCGUUACUUCGCAGAUCAAUCAUAGACACGAGUUAGCACGCAGGAACUUACCUCUCGCUAAAGAAAUCUCCGAAAUCGUCAAUAAUAACUGCUACCGGAAAGCUCUCGUGCAGGUGAAAUGCAGCAAAAUACUUUUUGAUUCCUUCGUCAUCUUCGACGUACCUAAAAGCCGACGAGUAAUCGAAGUCAAAUACUCAUCCUUGAGAACAAGAUGAUCGCGUUGUACUCGUCCAUUAUACAAGUGCAAAAUAACAGUUUGUCUACAAAAACUUAAGCUACUAGAGAAUGACACUUUGAAUUAAACGAGGCUAGGAGGCUGGUGGGAUUUGAACUUAGAAUCUUAUGCUGUAAUGCCAUGUGAACCAAUUGUUAGCCGUUUAAAAGCUUAAGUUGUCAGAGAACGGUAUUUCAGUACUUCAUACUAAAAAACAAGUACAUAUAAUUCCAAACUAAAAGAUGAAGGAUUCUUACUUCAUUUGUAUUUGUUGAAGCGCGUCCGAAGAUGGAUCAACAUUCUGAAAAGAGAAAGGAAAUUAAUCAAUCACAUGAACAAAUAAACAUGCUACAAAUAAUAGGCCAAAUUAAUUUGAUAUUGAAACAAGAAAAAGGAGGUGUUUUUGACCGACUUGUGAUAAAAAUGGGGGCUUGUUCUCGAAUUUUCGCUUGCUGCAGAUGAAUACCACAUCACGAUCACUACCCAACGCACAGUUGAUUGCGAAUUGGAAUAAGAGAGAGCUCUUUCCACUGUUCUAUCAAAAAAUGCACAAAAAAAAGUGAUAAUAGUAAAAAAAAAAAGAAAAAGAAAAAAAGGGGGGCGGGGGAGGAGAAAUAUACCAACAUGGAGGCCCCGAGAGGAGGGUCAAUGAUUGGAUAGAAGAGAGAUCAACAGGUUGACUUGUGGAGAAGAAUCUCUCCACCAUUUUUUUUUUUUUUCUUUUUCUUUACGGAAAACUAAUGGUGUAGAUAAGGUGUUCGAUGAAAUGCUUCAGUCAAAAUCCACAUUUUUUACACUUCUAUUUGGUAUUUUGAACUCGUGGGCGUUCAUUUCACAGUUGUGCUGUGUAGCCUUUAUUAGAAAAUACUUAAUAUUUUAUAUAAUUUAUAAGUAAAACCGCAUAGAACUUAAUAUGAAAAUACCCCACCUUAUAAAAAUUUAAUUUUACUAUCAACUUUUCUAUUUAUUUGAUGAGAACUAGUUAGUAAGUAAGUAAGUAAGUAAGUAAGCGGCACACAAACUUUAAAAUUUAAACAUUUUUUAUUUUAAUAAAUUUAUAGCUGUAAAAAUUACAUAAGGUGUAUUAAUUAAAUAUGUAGACAUAAACGAUAUAUUGAAAUUUUAAAUUAAAGUAUUGGUAACUUACUCGAAUCAAAUAAAUUGAAAUAAUAAUUUGUCAUGCUUUUUCCAAAAAACCAAACACCAUCGUUGCGUGCAUGCAAUUGUAGCUGGUGAGUGACCAAAGUUUAGUUAGUUAAUUCAUGAAUUAUUAAAAAUCCGAACAAAACAGUCCAUAUGUGAUUUAUUCUCAAAAAUUCGAAAUAAAACGUGAAUUUUUGGGUUAGAUUUAUUAUUCGCGAAAAUUUGCGUAAGCCGAACUAUUCGGCCAAAAAAAAUGCACAAAAUUUUUAGAUAAAAUCCCUUUCCAAAUUAUUACCGAAUUAUUCGCAAAUUAUUGAAAAACUUCAUAAAUUUUCAAUAUACGUGGAUUGUGAAAAAGAUGAAGAUAAAGAUGACAGUGAAAUUUAUUAUUGCUUUUUUUUGCUUUAUCUACUUUAUUUUGUAAAUAUCUAUUUUUAUAUUCUUAAGAAUUUAUAACUAUAUAUACUAAUAGUAUAAAUUUAGAGAAAAAAUUUAGUUUAAUGGCCGAUUUUUUUAUCCCAAAUUUUUAAUUAGCGAACGUAUAAUUUUCAUAUAAAUCGCGUAUUCGAAUAAUUGACGAAUUUAUUUUUUAAGUCGUAUUUUUUAACCAAUUUAAAGAUUGAGAUACGAAUUUUAUUCCGAUUUUGGCUGAAUCCGAAUUAACUAACUAUAAACCAAACUCACCAUUCGGAGCGGAGCCGAGCCCGAAAGUUUCGGGUCAAAGUUUCUUGAUCCGAAGUCCGAACCCGAUCAAGCCGGUUCGUCCUGAUGUGGAUAUUAGCCGUCGGAUCUGAUCUAAACGGCCGUAAUGGCUUUCUUUUCAACUGUGCCCUAAACCCCAAAUUUCCAAAUCGCCUCGACCUUUUUUCGGCCUCUUCCUCCUCCUCCUCCUCGAACCUCUCACUCUCUCCAUCGACCCCCUCUUCUGGUACUUUCCUUUCCCCUCUCUUUAUCCUCUCCUCUCCUCUCCUCUCCUCUCCGUUACCCUAAUCGAUUCCUACGAACCUCUCCACCGACGCUUUUGGAGCUAGGGUUUCUCGCUCCGCCGCGGGUGUCGAAUUAUACGGCGAGGGCGAGAUCGGCGUCCUCUGCGGGAACCUUUUCCUCCGUCGUACGAAGGUGUGCGAAUUUUUUAAGGGUUUUUUUGUGUUUAGAUGAUUGUAUUUGGUCUGAAAGUGGAGCGGAUAAAUCUCAUGCAGAAAUUAUUAUGAUUUUGAUUGAUUUUGUUGGCGAUUUUUGUGUUCUUGUUGCUGAAAUUGAUGAAAGGUUUUUCGCCUUUUUGGAGUUUGAUCCUGGGGGAUGCUCGUGAUUAAUGUUUCAGCGUGUAUCUCUUGGAUUAGAUUUUGAUAGGUUUAUGGCGAUUUUAGUGUUCUUUUGGCUGAAAUCGAUGAACAGGUUGCGCCUUUUUGGGCUUUGAUCGCAGGGGACGCUCGUGAUUAGUGUUUCGGUAUUCUACAAUUUUUUAGAUGUUUGCUUCCUUGAUCAAUUGUGGACUUAGGUUAAUUACAGAGAGUUAGAUUGUUUUUGCAGUGUUGAAGUGAUGAAACAAUGCGGUAUGGUGGCUGCAUCUUAAUGGCCUUUAGAUAUAAAACUUAAUAUGUGAUCUCGCAAUAAGUUUAGUUCCUGUUGGAAGCGGUUAUAGGUUAAAUUCUGGGAAUCCAAAGUUGGACCAUUUAUCUACUUCAUGUGCUGAAUUGAAACUUAAAUACUCACCUUUAGGUUCAGAGAUCAGCAUAAAUUAAAAGAAUGAAUGAAUAUGGAAUGUUUUGGAUACUAGGUUUUUGUGUCUUCUGUUUACAUUGCCUAUGAUGAAUGAGCGGAUCUUAGAAUUAAUGAUAAUAUAUUUAACUUGUAUGGGUCUGCCAAUCAGUCAUAUUAGUUGAUCCAGCAAUUGUUUGGAGAAUAGGCUAAUGACAUUCAUAUAUAUGUUGAAUGUUGUUAGCUCACCCAGAAAUUCCAAAAUUAUUUCAGUUGUUGAGCCAAUCAUCUUAUAUUUUCUCAAAUCAGCUAAUUUGAAACUAAUAUUUUGAUUGAUGAUUCAGUUGUACAUUUUUAAUGGUUGCGUGGUAAUAUAUUUGACUUAUUAUUGUAUAAAAUGAUUAUCUUUCUUUUAUCUUUGUUAUCUUUUUCUUUCCUAUUCAUUCAGGUUUUAUAGGUUACAUAAAAUAUUAAUAUAGUCUUUUGUUAUAUUAAGCCAUGUUCCCUAACACAUCUUUUAUUUAUUUGUUUUCAAAUUCAAAUUCAUAAUAUUCUGGCUGGUGGUUUCUCCUUGCUAUUGUUGGCUAUCUACAUACUCUUCUUUUCUGAAAAAAACAAAGUGGAAAAUUUUUUUUGGGGGCUUUUUAUUGCCAAAAAAACAAUAUAGAUGUUUUGAGUAUGCUGUUUCUAUGAUCUAAUUGCAUAAAAUUUUUUCUUUUAUCUGAUUACAUAAGAUUUGAGUUAAAGACCAAGAAAAUUGUAAAUGGUGCCAAAGGAAGUCUAUCUUUAUUUUACCACAUAUUCUUGUUUUAUUUACUCUUUUUCACUUGGAUUCACUUGAUCUGCAAAUUCUUUGGUUGAUUGUUCAUCUCUUAUCACAUUAUUUGUAUUUUUGUUGGCACACAUAUUACUCAAAUCUGGUGGCUUGUUAUCAAUUUCUUAUCGCUAACACUAGUUUAAAUUGGUACGAACUUGAAUUUCGAUAAUCAAUUUUGAAUUAUCAUAUUGUAAAGUUCUCAUGAACUGUAAUAGGAUCUUUCUUUGAUCCAUGUAGUUGUACUCUAUGCAUUGUUUUUUGACAUGAUGAAAGAGCUAGUAUGAUAUUCUUUUUCUUGUACCGCCUGCUCUUGGAAUCAGUUCAAAGUGAAAAGAUAAUUAGCUAAAUUAUUUCUGCUUCUUUUGACCGUGCCUCUACCAUGUAAAAUUUUCUGGCAAGUGGAUGAUUAAAUGUUCUGCUUAGGUGCCUAGCUGAGAAUGAUGGAAAAUGCAUUAUGUUACUGCUAAUAAAAGCUAUUUCAAUUGUUUAUGGCCUCUACUGUCUGCCUGUCUAUCUCAAAUCAUGCUCGUUUUCUCUGAUUUUCAGAAAAAUAAUUUAUCUUUGUUGUUAUCUGCAUCCCUUCUACUUGAAUCAUUAAAAUAAUAUAAUCUUUAUAAUCCUUUUAUUGUGCCUUUUCCUUAGCUGUGCUGUCUGAGUAUAACUGAAGAGGGUCUCGAGUUUGUUGAUAAUUCAAGUCUGAUAGCCGAGGACUGUACUUUGCAACCCUUGUACUAUGAAAUGAUUACACAUCUCUUAUGAAGUCCAUUUCCACUUCUACUAUGUUAAAUUAAAUUCUUUGUAUGUUGCUACUCUUUCUUUUGCUUUAUUAGGUUAUUUGGAUAUAAUGGAAGAUAGUCAAUUCGUGGUUCCUCCAGCAGUAGCUUCUACAGACUAUCCAUCCACUGGUCAAUUGCCUGCUGGAUAUGCAGCCUCCAAUCCAGACGCUACUGCUGCUGGUGGAGAAGCUGAUCCUGCAUCUUCUGCAGCUGCUGUUUAUGCUUCAGUGGAUAACACAAAUCCUGAAGCAAAAAUUGAAAUUCAAAAUUCAGGCUCUGUUGCACAGGAAGCCACAUAUGGUAUGGCUUCGGAGUCUGAAAAUGAUAAUGAGGCUUCUGGAGCUGGUCAAAACAUUGGAAGCCAAGACACCACUGCUAGUACGUACCCAGUUGAUUACAGUUCUUUGAACGGAACUGCUGCUGAUGUGGCAAGUUAUCAAUCUACUGGAGUUACCGAGAAUGGAGUUUUGACAAAUGAUGCAAGUGGUCAAGUUCUUGGGCAACCAUACGAGGAUGGUAUUGGAAUUUCGUGCUAUUUCCAAUGAGCUAUUAUUGGUUCUUGUCUGCUUAUUCUUCACGAUUAUUGUUUUCAUGUUGAUGUAAUUUUCCCAAUUUUCUUUUUGCAGCGGCAUAUUCUCCUGAAGAGGAGAGAUUGUGGAAUAUGGUUAGAGUAAAUUGUUUAGACUUCAAUGCUUGGACAGCCCUUAUUGAAGAAACAGAGAAAGUUGCAGAGGUAUGAUCUGGUUUCCUUAGUUUGUUGAUCUUACUGUAUUUAUCUUCAACUUCAAAAUUUUGUUUUCUGAAUGUUUAGAAUAUUCUUGAACGAACUUACUGAUCACGUCAUUGGAUUGGCAGAUACUUUAGUUCUUGGCGUCUCAGCCUAAUAUCUUUCACUUAUCUUUAACUACUGGAGGUUGAAUUUGUGUGUCUUUAAAGCAUUUAUAGACUAAAUCAUUUGGUCCGGCAGAUACUUUAGUAUUUUUACUCUCCUCCAUUUUCUAAAUUGUGGAUAUUUUCUUCUUUCCCUCCUAACCUUUAAACUACUAAAAAUUCACCCUCUUUAUUAUCUGAAGCAUCUAGUUGAUGUACUAUUUGGAUAUGUUCUUUAGAUUCUCACUUAUUCUGUUAUUAUAGAUUUUGCCUGUAAUGCCUAUCCAAUAGUUAAAACAAGAGCUGGAGAUAACUGUGAAUAUCUAUGUCUAGUUCUCAACCUAUCGUUAAGUAAUUGUGAUGCAAGUCUGCAGUCUGGAUGUAUCUCUGUAUGGAAGAGGAAGAUAAAACAUGGCUUUAAAGUUUAAAAUUCACUUGGCUUCAUCUUACAUGAAUCCAAUGAACGUGGGGCUGCCUUCUGAAGAAGGCAGUAUAGUUGAUCACACUAAAGCAUUAAUCGUGUGGAGGGAAUGAAUAAUAUGACUGAGUCGCUAUCAAAUUUAUUUGUCCACAUAGUGUUUUUAAUACUUAUAUCACUUAAUCAUUUUUUUCACCUUUCUUUAUGAAAUAUUUGUUAUUCACGUCUUGGUUUGUGCUAACAUGUUUGUCUUAAUCUUUUCCUUGCAGAAUAACAUUAUAAAGAUUAGAAAAGUCUAUGAUUCAUUUUUAGUUGAAUUCCCUCUAUGUUUUGGCUACUGGAAAAAAUAUGCUGAUCAUGAAGGGCGUCUUGAUAGCGUGGAAAAGGUUGUGGAGGUUUAUGAAAGGGCUGUUCUGGCAGUGACCUACUCAGUGGAAAUAUGGGUUAACUAUUGUCAGUUUGCCAUAUCAACAUACGAGGAUCCAGAUGUCAUUAGAAGGUAACACAUAUUCAGUUCAUUUUCUGCUAUACUUCCCAUUGAUCUUCUUUUGUAAUGAUAGGUUAGUCAUGGUUUUUACAUAUUCUAACCACAUUUUGCAUGAAUGGACAGUGAUAACCAUAUGCAUGGAGAAAAGGUUUGAUGGGAAUGCACUUUAGAAAAAAAAAUCUUUUCUAAUGUGCCUACCCUUGUUUUCAUCUAUAUUGUGUAGCUCUAUUCAAUUCUUUUAGCUUUUCUCUUUCAUCAUUUUGGCCUCUGUGUAUGCCCUCCUUUUCUUAUCUCCGAAAGGUCCCGUAGAAAACUUGUAGUCCAUGAGUUACUGCUACCUUUACUUUGAGGCUAUCAUGGGUACAUCGUUAAUCAAAAUGCUGCUCAGGAGACUACGCUGAAUUAUGGGCUAAGAUGGCCCUUUUCCUCCUCCAUUCCAAGGGCAUAGUAUGAUUUUAUCUGGAAGGUAAAUGCAGUGUAUUUGUGCCAACUUUGGAAGUGUCAUCUGCUAUUAGAAAAAAAUUAAGACUUGUCAUCUUAAUACUCGAUUUGCAACACGCUUGUGAGUACUGGGCACGUGCAAUAACCUCUUUACAUGCUUUUUCGUCCUUCAGGCUGUUUGAACGAGGUUUGGCAUAUGUAGGGACAGAUUAUCGAUCAGAUCUGUUGUGGGAUGAGUACAUUAGAUAUGAAGAGUCUCAUCAGGCAUGGAGUCAUCUUGCGAUGAUUUAUACAAGAAUACUUGAGCAUCCGAUACAACAGCUUGAUCGCUAUUUUAAUUGGUAUGCAUUCUUUUUGUUUGCUUUUUCUUUCUUUGCAUCCAUUAGAAUUCUAGUAGAGCAAUCAACGGAGAAUUACUUAAGUCAUAGCUCUCUGACAUUGAAUCCUUAGAUCUAUUCAUGGUUUUAGUUGUAAGGCACACCCAGGCUCAAGGGCUCUUGGAGUCUGCGCACAAGGCACAAGGUGCACUAUGUACAUGCCUGAGGAAAAAGAGGGGUGCAUUUACCCACUUAUUAUUUUUGUUAAAAUACUCACUAGAAGACCUAUACAACCACUAUAAACAAAUAACUAGUAAGAUUCAGAAAAAUGAUAUCAUGUUAAAUUGAAUCAUAACAAUAAACAAUUAACAAAUCAGUCUAGUGAUGCAAUUUGAUAUAAAUGCUAAAAUAUUGACCAAACGCUUAUUUUAGUUAUGUAUGCAAACAUCUGAAAUUUGCAAUCAAGGUUUGUAAAACCUUGUUCAUAAACAUCCAAAACUCCCUCGCAAAAUCCAAAAUCUGUAUCCAGGCAGGAAUGUCUAAUCAGCAUCUUGUGCCUCGGCCGAGGUGUACACCUAGGACAAGGUGCCUGGAUUGGAGCCUUGAUCCUAGGUCUCUCGGUAUGUGCUUGAGAAACGCUUUUCCUGUGUUUUUAUCUGGGGCAAUGACCAUGUUCAGGCUGAACUUUUCUUUCAUAUUAUUGUUUCAGCCUUUAUGCUGGCAUCAGUGAUCUAUUAUUCGUUACCUUACACACUUCCGUAAGCUUAUUUGCUAUUAGCUAAAUGUACUAAUGUUUUUCCACAAUGAUACUAAAUUUGUGAUUUCAUUUUGAAUUGGUCGGGGGAAAUAGCUGGGUUCCUAUAUAAGGUGCUUUAGAUAAAUUAUGGUUGAUUGAUCAUAACAAGUCAUCUGCUAUGUUGUGUAUGUUGUAUUAUUUACUGUAGCAAGCACUCCACGGUAUAUACUGUAAUCCUCUCCCACAUCCCCCAGUGGUCAUUUGACUUCUUUUAUCACUUGAAUCGGAGCGUGUAAGUAGUUGAAGGAGCAUGAAUUGAGUUUGACUUUGACAUAAAGGCGAAGUGUAUCCCAAAUCAUCAAGCUAUCUGUUACUUCUCAUGCCUAUUAGUGUUCUCACUUUGAUGUGUCUAUCUUCAUUUAUCUGGGAGUCCUUAUGCUUGUACUCCAUGUUACCAUCUGCACCUUAGUGAUAAUGUGGCAAUGGACACGAAUAAUAAAGUAGUUGUAGGCUCAAUUGCGUGUGCAUAUGUAAUAGCAGACUUUUUGAAGCUAUCCUGGGUCAACCUUUGAAAUCUUAUUGUUUCAUUCAAUUUUCUUCUUCUUUACAUAACAGUUUCAAAGACUUGGCUGCUACUCGACCUUUGUCAGAAAUAAGAACUGCCGAAGAAGCUGCUUUGUUGUCUGCCACAACAGAGAAUGAUGGCCAACAAGGUCUUGAGGGCGAGGUUCGUUCUGAUGGUGUAGAACAGUCUCCUAAACCCGUAAGUGCAGGUUUAACAGAAGCAGAGGAGUUGGAGAAGUAUAUUGCAAUUAGGGAAGAGAUGUAUAAGAAAGCUAAAGAGUACGAUUCUAAGAUCGUUGGUUUUGAAACAGCUAUAAGAAGGCCAUACUUCCAUGUCAGGCCACUUGAUGACUCAGAGCUUGAAAACUGGCAGAACUAUCUUGAUUUUAUAGAGAGGGGAGAUGACUUUAAUAAGGUACGCGGUUGACUUUAUUUUUUAAUUUUCUUAUGUUGCUUUGAGACUUUUCGUUAAUGUCUUUCACUUUAUGUUGGCUGCAUUCUAUGCUUUAAUGGCUAGUAUGUUCGAUGACGCUACAUUGUAAAAUGGGAUAAUGAACUGACGAUAGAGCGUGGGCAUGUUGUUUGGUUUCUAUGAGGCUAAGUAUUUCAAACCCUUAUUUGUCAAUGGACAUUCUGGGUUCCGCAUACAUGUUGUGCCAAUAUCUGUUUUUUUUGAAAUUCGAAUCUCAUAUAUGCAGGUGUUUGCUUAUUGCUUACCACUUAACCAGUUAACCAUCUAUCUAUCAGGCAAGGAUGGUCCCUCCUUUCAUAUUGAGGGGCCUCCCUAAUCAGCUAAUGGAGUACUUCUUGUGAACUUCUCUUUGUUGGAAUAUUAAUUUUUUUUACUUGCUUGAUUCUUUGUCUUUUUCCCUUUUCUACUUCUUAACAUUGUGAUUGUUUCAGGUUGUCAAAUUGUAUGAAAGAUGUCUAAUUGCAUGUGCUAAUUAUCCCGAGUUUUGGAUCCGCUAUGUGUUAUGUAUGGAGGCUAGUGGAAGCAUGGAGCUUGCUAAUAAUGCUCUUGCUCGUGCCACUCAAGUUUUUGUGAAGGUAUGAAUUAGACCUAGAACCACGCAUGCAUGUUUAUUGUUAUCUUCGAAAGUAAUAAUAUGCUAAUGGUGAUAUCCAACAUUUUUCUGGUUUUUCUGAAAAAUAAGACAUGAAGUAUUUGCUCUACAGCAAGAGUAGUUUUUUAUUGAUAUCUUCCUUACUGUUAUUGCCUUAACAUGAAGUCUUUGUUUCUUGUACAUGGCUUCUUCUUUAGUUUGUUUACAAACAUUGUGUUAUCCUUGGUGUUUUAUUUUCACAUCCAUGUGUUCGUAAAGCACACACUCAGUACUAGCACCGACAAACCAACCACCCCUCUCCCAUCUUUGACAAAUCAAAGAGAGAGGGUUCUGUAUCAAACAUAACUGACUUGGAGAUUAGAGGAUCUGUAUGAAAAGAAAGCUUCCGGCAGAGGAAAAUUUAGAGGCUCUUAAGCUUGUCAAGAAAAAGAAAGAGGGAUUUAGAAAAGAAUAACAUGGAAAAAAAAACUUUUAUAAUUUUCUCCAGAUUGUGUGCCAACUCUCUUUAUUUGUCAUUGUAUAGUUCGCAGACAAAGAGCACAUAAUGGAAAAUCUGUUACUGUAGUUAUCCAAAUAGUGGUGCUUGUAUAAGUUAAAUAAGAAAAGAUUGAGGAAGUUGCAAAUAUAUUAGUGAACACAAAAUUCAAUCUCCAUAGGUCCAAAAUGCUAGGUUUUCUUUGUUCUUGGUGAAUAGCACUAAGUGCAGCAAUUUGCUGUUCUUGUGCUAAUGCGUAGUCUUUGCUUUGCAUAGCUGCCCUUGUCUGAAUGUGGGUUUCAGGUCACUUAUAUUUAUCCUUUGUUGUUAUUUCCCCAUAUACAUGAUUAAGUUCUAAUCAUUGUGUUUUUUUUAAUCUAUUAUUUUUUAGUACAAGGCAUGUUAACAUUUUGUAUAUACUUUUUCUAAACAGAAACAGCCAGAGAUUCACCUUUUUGCUGCCAGAUUCAAGGAACUAAGUGGAGAUGUUUCAGGAGCACGUGAAGUAUAUCAGUUUCUAUACUCUGAAGGAUCUCCUGGGCUGCUAGAAGCCCUUGUGAAGCAUGCGAAUAUGGAAUAUCGUCAGGUACCUCUCAAUAUUACUUUAAAUUCUGCUCAUAUCUUUGCAUCAAGUUUUACUCUAAUUUUUAUCUGAAUUUGCAGGGAGAGAAAGAAGCUGCCUUUUCUGUUUAUGAAAAGGCUAUUGCUGCUGAACAGGAAAAAGAGCAGAGCCAUCUUUUGCCUAUGCUUAUUAUUCAGUACUCUCGAUUUGUAUAUUUGGUACGGUAUACAUUUUAUUGUCAUUGGUUGUUGAAAAAGUCACAGUAACUCUUUGAUUAUAUUUUCAUAGUAUAUUUAUUAUAGCUUGAUCGCUAGGCUCAAACAUAUGCACCCCCACCCCCACCCACCCCAAAAACAACCCACAACACACGUGCAUACAAAAAUAGAAAAAAUCAAAUACUCUCGACUAGGUGCUAUUCUUAAACUUUGUGCUUCCUUCCCUUUAGCAUACUGCUAAACAUCUCUUGAGCCACCUAGUUGUCAUUCAUAGUUAACUUACUAAAUUUAUUUACUUUUAAAAAGAAAUUUUGUGACUUUAGAAAUUUUCUUACUUCUAUACUAUUUUUGUUUACAAGGAAUUUGGUUCGUCUACUGAAUUUUAUUCAAAAACAUACCACCCGCAGCGAAUUGAGUUACUGUAUUCACGGUGUCUUUUGAUCCUAGUUUAUUUAAGAUGUCUUCUCUAUUGUACUCUUUAAUGAAAUUUAUGGCUUCGCUCUUUUUUGCUAUACUCCUCUAGGUUGCUGGUGAUCUGGAAAAGGCAAGGGGAAUAUUAUCUGGAUCCUUGGGUCACCUGCAACUGUCAAGACCUGUUCUUGAGGUUUGUUUUGAAAUUCAGCUGAUAAUUUCCCCCUUUUUCCAUUUGUGAUUCUUUAGUUGUCUAUUUUUAACCUAGUCAUUUGAUAUUUGUAGGCUGUGAUUCAUCUAGAGUCAAUUCAUCCAUCUCCUAAGCAUGUUGAGUCUGUAGAUUCAUUGGUGGAGAAGUUCAUUACACCUGAUGCUGAAAAUCCCAACGUGACUGCAAGCACGAGCGACAGAGAAGAGAUAUCUUCGAUAUUCCUGGAGGUAAAAGUUUGAAAAUCUGUUUCAUAUAUCUGUUAAAUUUCAUUGGUUGUCAUGACAUCUAGUGAAUACUCUGUACCAUUUGUUUGUGUCAUGGAAAAUGUAAGAAACUAUGGAUUUUCUGUUUCCCGUUAUCUUCUUGGUGUAGUAGAGUAUGGAAUCCAUGGAAUGUCUUUAUGUUCAAUUUCACAAUAGCUUUUCGCCGGAAGUUUUUGCAGCGUCUAUAAUAUCUUCUCAUUGUGAAAUAGCAGAAAGAAUGGUUGAAGCUGAGGGACAUUUUUUGUUUUUCUCUUGGUUCCACUCAAAUAUAACUGAAUCUAGUUAGUAUGGAGAGGGUAAUAUGAGGUGGAUGGUCUCAAGGAGUUGACAUGCGGUGAUAUUAUUGGAUUAUUAUGAUCUUUGAUUUGGCUUGUAGAAUGGUCAUUGUUUAGAACUGGAGUUAAUAUAUCAUUUUCACAUAUAAAAUUCACUGUGAUUCUGAAGAAAAUAUAACUUUAGUUAUCUGUCAUCAAUGCCAGCAUCUAGGUUUAUUAAAAUUCUAUGAAUAUGAUUUAUAAUUUUUAGGUGCCAUACUUUUUUACUUUAAGAUUAUAAAAUUAUUGUAGAAUACUUUUGUUUUUGAUGAUCUCUAUUGAGUUUCCAAAGUACUUUUGUCGAGGAGGAAAAUUCAAUGGAACAAAUAAGCUGCUAAUUUUUUUUUGGUUUUAUUCAAUGUAGUUCCCUUCGUUGUAUAAAUUAUACAGUGUUGUUACUUCAUCCUGACUUAUUCCAUGAUAUCUGUUACAAUUUAAAGGGAUAAGAUUCUAUGUUCUUCAUUAGAGGAUCACAUGAUUUGAAAAUGCUCUAGCUCUUUUAGAACCUGUUCACUAAUACAAGUUGCAACUGUCUCGCAGUUUUUGGAUCUGUUUGGAGAUGCUCAAUCUAUCAAGAAGGCUGAGAAUCGGCAUUCUAUACUUUUCUUGCGUCACAGGCCUGCAUUAGUAUCAAGGAAACGAAGUGCUGACGAUACCUUUGCCUCGGACAGGGCUAAAAUGGCUAAGACUGGAGAUGGAGGGCAAUCAAUUAUGGGAGCCUACCCAAAUGCUCAGAGCCAGUGGCCCAGUGGUUAUGGUCAAAAGGCUCCAGCCUGGCCUCCGACUUCCCAAGCACAAGGGCAGCAAUGGAGUACUGGAUAUGCACCACAGGUACGAUUGUUGUUCAAAUUCAGUUAUGAUGUUUCUUUUUGUGUACUUUUUAGUUGGAUAUAAUGUAAAAUACUUUUUUCUUCAUUGUAGCAAACCUCUUUAACUGUAAUUAUGACACAAAUAUUGAUGAAUAAUCUUACUAAAUUUGCUGUAGCACUUGUUUUUCGUUAUAAUAAAGUAGUUUUAGCAUAGUGACACCCAGGUUUAAUCAGGCUUAUACAAAUAAUAUUUGGAUUUCAUUUUUGGUUUCUUACUCAUUUUACAUGUAUUGACAUUUCUCAUUUGUGACACAAUUAUGCAGGCUGGUUAUGCUGCAUAUGGAGGUUAUGCUAAUUAUGGUCAACCAGUGCCUCAGCCAGCUCCUCAGGCUGCCACUUACAGUGCUUAUCCUGCAACAUACCCUACCCAGGUACUAAAGUCUCUCAAUAUUUUUGGUAAACGAGUGGGAGAUGCAUUUUUGUUGAACAAUUGGCCCCAUUGAUGGAAGCUUAACAGCCUCAUAUAUGGAUAAGCUGUUUAAAUUUCUAGUGAGCCUACAUAUCCAUCACAUUUGCUUUUGGCACUUUAAUCUAGUUGGCUUCUUGUUGAGUGUUGUCUAGGUCCACCCACCCCAGGCACACAUAAGCCCAAGGAUGAUAAUGAAAUCCAUUCAACUUAAAAGCUUCGGCCUAUUGGAUCUAGGCCCACUAGUAAUCUAGUAUAUAUCAACCUUUUACUCUCCCAUGGUAAGGUGUCAAGUGGAAGUGCAGUGAUGUAUGCAGCUGAGACAUCCUAACAGACCGAGAGUAAUUUUCUGAUGAGAGACAUGUGAUGUAUGCAGCUGAGUCAUUAUGAUAGGUGUCAAGUGGAAGUGCAGUGAUGUAUGCAGCUGAAUCAUCCUAGCAGACCGAGAGUAAUUAUCUGAUGAGAGACUCACAUAUGAACUCUUAAGGAGCUUCCUUUUUUACAUGUGAACUAAUCAAACUCUCCCUCAACUCCUCUUUGAAUUCAAAUCUUUUACACUCGAAGCAUUGCACCAAGUUGUUUUUCAGCUCUUCUCUAAGACAUACUUUUCAAGCUCUUUUAUGAGUCACCAAGGACCCUUUAUCAGAGUCCAUAUACUUUAACCUGCGCUACUCGGGAAUUCAUCUGAGCCCAUGCAAUUGGAUUGCGCUUCUUGAGCUCGACUAUUUUAAAUGCAAUAACCGUUUGAACCCAUGCACCUGACCCGUGCCUCUGGGGUCCCUUUUUUUUUAGUGUACUGAACUAGUUUAUCGCGUUACCAUGACUUCCACGAACCCGUCAUGUUUUGUAAGAGCCACUAACUUAAUCGAACCAAACCACUUAGAUGAGUAGCUCAGGAUUUUCAAACCAUCGGCCCGGAUACCACUUGUUAGGAAGUUCUCGGCCCAAUUAGGCUCACGAGUCCAAAGACGUGACAUAUCUAAUGCAAGAACUAGUUCAACCUAAAAGCUUAAGACUAUUAGGUUUAGGCCCGUUAGAAUAUAUCCACUCUUAACUUAUCCAAUGUCGGACCAUUCACAUGUGAACUCUUAACAUGUGUGACCUUUGUUUCAUAUCUUACUUAAUUACUAUAUAUGUUUCUUCUUCAAAUUUGCAACUCGUUUCUUAUAGUAAAAACAUUAUAAAAGGUGACUGCAUGUCAUUAGACCCUGUUAGAAAUAGACCCUGUUGGAAGCAACUUGCAGAGAAUUGUUUUAUUUGGUUCUUUAAUAUGUGCUUAUUUACUGCUUAAAAAUGUUGACGUCAGAAUUUUUGCUUAUCCUAUAUGGUGUGCUCGAGCUGUUUUGUCCAUUUUGUGUUUAUUUUUAACACGUCUUUGUUUGCCUCCUCCUGGGUUUGAUAGGCUUAUGCACCACAACCUGCAGCAGCAGCAGCCGCAGCAGCGACAGUGGCAGCAACAGCAGCAGUGGCUGCAGCUUACCCUCAGCAGCCUGUGGCGUCAGCAGCGGCGGCUCAGCCGUAUUAUGGCACGUAUUAUUAGAUCUACCCCUUGUUCCUUUUUCUAUAACACCUGCCUCUCUGUAUACUAGAUUAGGUCCUUUUCUCUCAUCUCUGUUGUAUUUUCACUUGAUCAACGUCAAAGAUUGACUAAUUUAGGAGGGUUCAAAACUUGCUUCUAAGCUUUCAUGUAGUGAUAAUGUAAUCUGUUACCUGGGUGGUGUCUUUCUAAUUGGAUUUUCACGUUGAUGCAUUAACGAAGGACCGGCCCUUUAUGAAGUUAAUUUCUUGAGGUCUGAUUGUUAGCCGAUUGCUGUUCCUUGGUGCUUUCAGACCAAAACACAAGUGAGCUUUUGUUACGAAAACAGUUCCGAACAGCUACUCAAACAGCAUUUGUGAAGAAGCUCCCGCUAGGCCGAGCCGGUUCUUCAUUUUCUCUUUUUCAGUAAACCUGGCUACAGGAUGUAGGUUGGUGACUAGUAUCUUGGGAAAGUUAAACUUCUUAAUUUAUCGGUUAGUUAAAAGUAAAACAAAUGAGAUUACUGGUGAAGUGCAGAUGCAGUAAAUUGCAUGGUGUAUGUGAAAUUUCGCCGAACUAGUUGUGAUGUGUUUUUUUUUUUUUUUUUGUUUUUACCCUUUUUUGGUGUUUGUAAGAUGCUACCAGUGCUGGCCCACUCAUGCAUUAAGUGGGAUUUGAAUUUGGUCUUGUCAUUUGCACUAUCAGUGGUUACUGACCAUUUCCACUAUUAGUUAGUUUGCAGUGGCUGAUAAAAAUUUGGAAAAGGUUGUUAAUGUACUGACAAAUGUAUUCAGUCAUUUUGGUUGUAUGCAUUGAGUGUUCAUUAAUUAAAUUUCUCUAAAUAAUAUAUGGUAAUAUCCAUUUUAUUUUUAUGAUAUACAUCUACACGCAUUAACAACCUAUGAGGAUCAAAUGUGUAAUGUGUAGGAUUAGGAAAAUGAAGGUUGAGACAAAUAUGCCUGUGGGCUUGGAAAUUUUCAAACUUGAAAAUGUCUAUAUGAACUUUGAAUGCUUUUGGUUCUAAUUUUCUUUAAAAUUUUGAAAUAAUUGCAGUUUAUAAAAAUCAUUUUUGGUCCUCAAGUUCAAAUUUACCCCUUCUUGUCAAAGCUAAAAUAAAUUUGGGAGUUAAUUGUUGUUAAAUAAAUUAGUAAAAUUUGAAGUCUCUGAAAAGACUGUAUGUAGUUUGUGUUUUUUUUUAAUUUAAACGUUUCAAACAUAUUUUUCCCAUGGGAUAAAUUGCACUGAUAGUCCUUGAACUUUAAAUUAAAUUUAAUUUUGGUCUCUGAAAACUUUUGAUUUCGUUGUACAAAAUCCUAAACUUUUCAAUAGACUUCCAUUUUAGUUCUUGAACUCUCAAGAAUGUGUGGUUGUAGACUUUGCCUUAAACUAAAAAUAGAAAAUAUGAAUAGGGACUAAAAUAAAACUUUCAAAAUUGAAAGUUUAAGGACCGAAAGCUAAAAAGUUUGUUUCCAUGAAAUCUUGGGUCCAAUGUUUAUAAAAGAAACAAAGAGGGACGAGCGCGUGCAAAAAGAAUAAAAAUUGAAGUGCGAAGUAGAAGACUUGCACUUCCUCAUUCUCCUCUCUCCGAGUCUCUCUCUCUCCCCACUUCAUAAUGUUUACUCACAACCCCUGUACUUUUAAAAUCCCCCAAUUUCCAUGAAUUUUGCGACUUUUUCGUCUAAAUUCAUCUACUUUUCCCGAUCACCAUGGUCCCCCAAAGCCCUAACAUGGUGUCGGCGCCUGAUGUUGUGGAUAUAAGCUCCGACGAGGAGGAUUGUGGCUUUGGGUGGAUCUCCGAUCUUCUUGAUGGGGUGGGCGAAGAAUCGGAGGGGUUUGAUGAUGUAAUGGUGGUGGAUGAUCUCUCCGCCCCUCCCGUGGUGUUGCCGCGGCGAAACCCUAAGUCGGGGAGAUCGAGAAAGGGCGGGGAGAGGGAGGGGUCGGACGAUGAGUGCCAAGUGCUCGAUUCCGACCCCAGUAAUCCGGUUUCGGUGGUCGAUGAUGGGAGGGGAUCCGAUGAGCUGCUAAUUGUUGGGGAGAAGGGGCCGGUAAUGAUCCCACUGCAUCUUCUUGGUUAUAAUAGUUUGUUUUUGUGUUUUACAAUCGUGUUUCUGGUUGAUCUAUGCUUAAAUCAUGGUGUGUUAUGUGUUGCUUGUUUAGAUUUGGUUAUUUUGCUGCUCUGUAUAUGUUUCCGAAGGUGACCAGAGGAAAAAAAAAAAAAAAUUGUUCUUUUCUCGCUUUUGCUUGAUGAUCUUAUUGCUAGUUUAUGUAGCCUUGCAAGUUUCACUGCAAGUGUCGCGGCUACCAAAUUUCUUGAUGUUGUAGGUUUCAUAGGAUAUCAAUCUUAUAUUCAUUUUGAUGUCCUACAUUGAGAGGUUAUAAUGCAGUGUUCGCUAUCUCAUUUUUAAAUGCGAAGAUAAAAUAAAAAUCUUUUUUUUUUUUCCUUUUGUCUUUGAGAAAUUCCGGCAAUUCCUAGAUGCGGGGUUUGGCGGAUCCCUACCUGAUCUUACUUUACAGCAGGAACACAGAAGCAGACCACAAAGAGGCAAAAGAACGAAAUAAAGAAAGAGACUAUAAAAGAUUAUACGUUUCUCCCUAUUUACAAGUUUCCACUAAAUUCCUAGAUAUUACAAAAUGCCCCAUAUAAGAAACCAAAAUCAUUUUAGCAUAAAAGAGGCUGUUGUGCGUAGGAAGCAGAUCAAAAGAGUAUGGUAAUCUAUUUUUUAUAUCUUAUGUUUGAAGUUUAUGACUGAAGUGCAAAUAAUUUAGGUUCAGUCAAUAUGUACAACAAACCAAGCAAAAACAAUAUGAAUACUGUUGUUUUUUGUUCUCCCGCCACUGUUCUAAAUACUGCUUUGAUUUUUCUAAUUCUGUUCCUGAGACCUUAACUUGCAUUUUCUUGAAAAAAAUUUAGGUACCUUGCAUCGUGUGAGGUCUCUCCACAAAGACUCAACUGCCGAUUCAUGUUUUAUCAACUUGUUGCAUGUGCCUUGUUGGCAUGUAGGCAUGUAGGAACAUGGCUAUGCAUAAUGUUGAUUACAUCAUGUUGUUGUUUGUCAGCAUAUAUGCAUGAUGGAGCAGUAUUUGGAGUUGCAUAAUGAUAUAUAAAUAAGUUUCUUGUACCACACUAGGAGGAAGUUUAACUCAUCUUUAUACUGUAUAGAAGUAUGUUUAAGCCUGAUGUUCUAGUCUUCCUCAUCCCCUUUAUCUUCUUAUGCACACACAUGCGUCAGUCAGAACCGCUAGAGAGCCAGAAGAAGUGAGAAAAUAGUUACGUAUGUCAAUAGCUUCUUUAGAUUGUAAAUUCCUAUACUGUAUGUUUAAGACAACUUAUUUAGUUUUGCCCACAAAUUUUAGAAACUACGCACAUAUCUGUUUUCUGGAUGAAACCAUCCUCCCAAGAUGAUGGAUUUGGCAGCUCUGUGUACGUUUGUUGAAGAGCAGGAAAUACAUAGCCAACAUCCUGCAUAAAGCUAUGCACUUUAAAAGAAAAUUGGCACAAUUACCUAGGAUUAAGCUUAUUUUACUUCUAUGGAUGGUUGCGUAUGAUGCUUUGAUGUUGAACACAACCCACGAUUGUAAUCAUUUUGAAUUAUGGUGGUUACCUAGUAGUCAGAAUUCAGAAAUGCUGAGAAAGAGGAAGAGAAGUAUAACAUAACCGAGCUUCAACAUUUUCUUAUUGCUUUAAGUGUUCUGAUAACAAACAUUAUCCCAAUUGAGUGCAGGAUAUCUAUGUUGUUGUCGUCUUUUUGGUGAUUGUCUCUUGUUCAUCUUCUUGGUUUAGCAAUUUGCACCCACUUUUUAGUUAUAAUAUAUCUGUGGGAUGCAUAUGUAUUAACUUUUUCAAGGCUCCAAGUCUUAGGUUCUAAUCUUUUUAGCUUGAUCAAUUGUUUUUUGUAUGUUCAGAGAUGUGAUGCAUGGAUGGUUUUAUACUAUAGGUGUGCCCAUGUCAUGGAUGCUUUUAUACUUUAGGUGUGCCAAUGUCAUACCCAAUACACAUCGUGUACCUUAAGAUAUCCCUUGGAUUCUUCUUUUACCUUAUGUGUUUUAAAAUAAAACUUUGAAAAUAAGGGUAAGUCUCAGAUAAUAUUUUGGUCAAUAUGUUACUUAUUUUGUGUCUGCCCGCAUGAACAUAUGUAGUGACAAUAUGCAUUAUUACCUCGUCAAUGAUUUGAUAAGAAGUGCACUCAUUUUAUAUGUUGUUAAAUGCUGUAGAGGUGAAUUUCUCACCUAACAGGUAAUGGCAUAAUCACUUUUCUCGGAGUUUUAGAAUAUUAACUGGAAUUACGAGUUUCUAAUGCAUAUCAAUUAUCUUUUCUAGUGUCUCUAUUCAAAAAGUAUGCUCAUAUACUGGGAAGUAUGUCUGGUAACUUUUUUUUUUUUAAAUAGCUUUUUCCUUGCUACUUAAUGGUUAGGUGUUUACUAGCUAAAAAAUUUCUUUGAUAUGUAUCAUCCUCUGCUCAUUUGUUCAUUUAUAUGGUGCAGCUAUGUGGAAUGUUCUAUCAUGUAGUACGGCGUGCUUAAUUGUAGCCAAUGAAUCCACUCGAUUUAUUAUAUGAAAAAAGAAAUAAAGUUAGCAAUUUACAAAAUAUAUAAACACUUUGACCAUCACUUUAAAGUGUGCUGAACUGAGAAUUUGCAGAUUCAGGCCCAUUUAAGUGAUUUUUUUCUUUUCUGUUUUGUUGUUCUUGCGAGUCAAAUUUUAUGCGACUGGACGCAUUAGAAGAACAGGUUGGCAGAUCUUUCCUCAUCUCAAAAUGCUAAUGCUAUUACAUUGACAUAUUCUUUUGCUACUAAAAGAAACCUUAUUCUUGUCUCUUUUGUGUUUCCGCUUGCAACUGCAACUGGUUUUACCUGGUUAUUCUUAGUGAUAUUACUCUUUUUUUUUCUUUUUUUUUUCCUUUUCCUUAAAUAUUUUUGCAGUUAGCAUGCAGGGAUUUUCCUCAUCCACGGCAUUCAUGUGCGAACUUCCCAUUCAGCAGCACAUCGCAUGAGAAGCACUGUAACAUGGUCGGUAUUUCAGAUCUGUUAUUGACUUUUUGCCUGCUUGUUCUGUCUAUGGAGUUGUUGCUAAAAUAUUCAAGUUCUAUUAAUUUUACUUUUUUAACCCUCCCUUUUUUUUUAUGGCACAAUUUGCGAUGAGGUCUUCUUUUUUGAGAACUCAAACACCCCAGCUAGGGGUAUUCUGGUUUAUGCUAGGAUAUUUUAGUUCAGAGUAGUGAAAACCUAAAAAGUGGUCUAUGGUUGCAAAACCAAAGAUAACUGAUUUUUUUUUUCUUGCAAAAUGGUCCCGUGUUCUUCAUAGAUACUUGUGUUCUUUUCCUUGUUCUCUCUAGAUUUUUCCUGUUGCUUUAUAUACUUUACAUACAAUAGAUUGAUUGUGGCUUACUAAUCGCAGUGCCACUGUUAUGUCUGUGACUCGCUAGCCCCAUGCAGUUACUGGGGAAAUGGUUCCUCAAGUUCCGAUCACUGCCAUUCUAAUGAUAAGGAUGAAUCGUGGAAAUCACUGAGACAGUCUUUCAAGCGCAAGAAAUACUCGGCUCCACAGCCACCGAAUCUUCAGAACGGCCCGCCUCCUGUGGCCCAGUCCAUGCAACACCCGCCUCAAUUACGUCAGCCCCCUCCAAUGCUGCGGCCUCCCCCAUUUUCCCAACCAAACAUAGUUCGGCCUUGCUCCACCACAGUUGCCACCGCCACCAUCACUCCCUCCACAAAUUCAAUAGGCCAAAGGCAAAGUCCAUGCCCUUUGAUCAUCUCCUGUAACGGACAGAGAUCGGUACAGACCCCAGGCAAAACCUACACGCUUUCUCCAAAAACACUUUGUGCGCGGAGGGAAAAAGGCACUCCUGGGGCUUUGAGUGCGCAACUUAUGUAUUCUCGCACGCGAUUUAAACGGAGUGGGACUGCUCCGCCCGUAAUUAGUAAUAUCGCGACCGGUAGAUCUCAUCCUCCACAGGUAACAUCCAGGGGAACACGGUUUCCGCAGGUUAGCAUCAAAAGGAUGAGUAGCAUACUACAGAGAUCUCAGAGCCAACCAGUAAGGUCUGCUGAAAGUAGCUCAAACAUGAUCCAGCUCACUACGCCGAACGAAACUCAUAGCACAACGGUGCCAUCACCGAGAACUCAGUGCUCGCCAGUCUCUUUAGCAGACCUUAGCACGAAAAGUUGGGAGGAUAUACUCGCUAGCGUAGCACCUGAACAUGGAGUGAGCAUUUCUCCUCAACCUUCGCUGACGAACAAAGGCCAGGAAAUGAAUAUUUUUGGCCCCGACUCUCCUGAUACUGUGAAUUUGAAUUCAUUAGAUGUAGAUAAUUGGUUGAGUCCAACAUCUGUUCAGAACGGCGAAUCGCACAGGCAAGAAAACCCCCAGCGAUCAACUAUACAGUCAUCGGAUCCAAUGAUUGGGAGCUUGCUAGCGUCUUUGGAGGAAAUAUAGAUGAAAAUGCGCAAAUUGGGUGGCGGCCGGAGUGGCUUAACAAAUGUCUAGUUUUUUUUGAUCAUUUGAACAACUUUAGUCGUAGAUAACUUAGUAGGUUCCUUGAAUGCGAUUAUCCUCCUCGCUUUUGUUUUAUUGAGAAGGAAAAGUCAGCUCCCUUGUACAGUUUCUGUUGAUAUCAUUUGCUGCAAACUUAAAAACCUUUUCGCAGGCAUUUCUCUAUUUUCCCGAGUCUCUUGUGCAGAUAUAUGAAGAGGAUUCGAAUGCAUUUAUCUCUCGCCCUAAUGAUUUUAGUUUUGCUCAUUUUACUCUUGGCUCAUAUUCUGAAUAAUAGAUCCUUGUCUCAUCAAUUAUUUUUUAAUAUUGAAAAUUCAAAAAGUUUUUGAACCCUAGGAUGAAGGAUGUGAAUCAUACACUCUUUUUGGAGUGUGAAAUUAGCAUUUCUCUUAAUCUGAUGGGCUUUGAAUCAAGAUACAUGAGAUCCUUUCUCGAGAGAUUAGUUUAGAUGUAAUGGCUACUGAUUGAAAUAUUCAUCAUAACUUUUUUUUUUAAUUAAUUAAUGACAUAUCAAGAUUCUGAAUCUUUUGUUAUAUAAUUUUGUUUACCAAAAACCCUCCAAUCAACUACUUAAUAAAUGAACCAAAAAACAUUACACAAUUUUCCACUGAACAUAUCUCAUAAUAGAAUAAUACUAUACUUAAAAAUAAAUAAAUAAAUAAAUAAAUAAAUAUAUAUAUAUAUAUAUAUAUAUAUAUAUAUAUAUAUAUAUAUACUAUACAUUAUUUCUCUUAAAUUUGACACAUAGCACCGACCGUCCCUAGAGUAAGUGGCAAAGGACUUGAUGGUUAGUAUCUGAGAUCCUAAGUUCGAAUCUUAAUUGAUUCACAUUUCCAGCUAAGUUUAUUUCUAAAUAAAAUAAAUGAAACGGAUAGCGUGCUACCUAUCUCUCAAAAAAAAAAACCACAUGACAACAUGUCCGUUAUUGUUGAGUGUGGACUCUAACUAGAACCGGUUCAGAUCUUCUACAUAUUUUUUUUCUUCCUUUGCUUGAAUCGGACCGGAUUUUCUCUUUCUUUGUUUGAACCAAACUGAUUAUUAUUAAGUGUAGGCUCUCUCGAACCGGCUCAAAUCUCUCUCUCUCUCUCUCUCUCUCUUUUUUUUGCUUGAAUCGAAUUGGAUCACAACUCAAUUGAGCCGAACUGUUCUUCUUCCUCUUACUUUAGUUUCCUUCAUCGGCAAAAUAAAUCUCAUCCUUUUAUCGUUGUUUCUUUUAUUGCCGCUUUUUCUUUCUUCCGUCGUUUUUUAUUUUUUUUCUCAAUUAUCUAUUCGGUGCAUCGCACAGAUUACUAUACUAGUUUUGUAUUAUUUGACAAACUAAUGUAAGCAGCAAUAUUUAGUUAGCGAAAAAGUGUAAAAGCUAACAAACCCUACGAAUUCUCCUGUUUCUGUUUUUCUCUCCUAAUUUUCUAGAAGCACACAGCCUCCCCAAUAAAUAUCUCUACAAUUAAAACUUAAGUUACGUAACACAAAAAACAAAAACACUCCUUUCAAAGGCCAAAAAAAAAAACCACCAAAAAAAGAAAAAGGAAUUAAAUAAGCAAAACUCCACGUGGCUACACAUCAGUGGAGGAAUUCUUUCCAAGGAAAAAAAGAAAAACAUAACGCCAGAUAAUUUAUGCCUUUGAUCUUUAAUACUCUACUUUGAUCUUUAAUACUCUAUAAUAUAAUAAUAAUAAUAAAGAAUCUAAACAAUAUAUUGAUUUCAGAAAAAAAUAAAUAUAUAUAACUUAACUGCAAUAUAGAUCAUUAUAGACCUUUUUAAUUGACUAUCAGACAUUUCAAAAUUUAAUUAAGAAACCUCUCAAUUUAUUUGAUUUAAGUAAUUUGAUGGGAUUUCUGGUAUAAAAUUUAAGCUAAUUGCUUAAUUUAAUGAAUUUGCAGUUAUGUAAAUUGUAUAAAAUAUAUUAACUAAAUCUAUAAAAAUAAACAAUACAUACGUUUAAAUUUUGAAGUUAAAGGAUCAUUAACCGGCUCAAAUCAAAUAAAUUAAAAGAUUACAUAGUAAAAUCAAAAUAUUUAAAAUUGUGGAAAUUUUUUUUCCAAAUAAGAGUUUUCCAAUAAAAACUUUUUUUUUCCGUUUUCUGUCCGUUUUAUUUGGAGAAUUUUUUUUUGUAUGAAAAAAUAAUGAUUUCAUUUUUCUGAAAAAACGAAAAUACUACUCUUCCUUGAAAUCUGAAAAAUUAGUUUUUCUUUGGAGAUUUUCUAGAGAAAACAUUUUUUUCGAAUUUUUUUUUUCAAGAAAAACUAUUAAGGAAAAAAGACUUUUAUGAAUUUUUUAUUUUCAUAUUUUUAGAAAACUAGUGUUCUUGUUUUCUUAAAAAAAAAAAUUGAAAAACAAAGAACAUAGUAGUUCAAUAUUCAUUUUCCUGCAAACCAAAAAAAAGAAGCAAACAAUCCCUAAGACAUUUUUACCACCAAAAAAAAAAAAAAAAAAACACUGUCAUAAAACGCGUUCUACAAUGAAUGAAUUAAUAACACAAAAGCUCAUGCACAUGACACCGCCAUAUAAUUUAAUAAAAGCAUAACCAUCUAAUUCCUAGCUAAAACCAACAAAAAUUAAUUGCAAAUUAUUGUAUGUAGUCUCUGCAUGCGAUAUAAAUAAUAAUAAUAAAUAAAAAUCCUAAUAAUAUGUCGAUCAGUGUUACACAUCUAAGUCGUCGUCGAAGUCGUCGUCGAAGGAGUUGUAGAAGAACUGCUCGUCGAUCACGUCAGCCGGGGAUGACGUCGUCGUCCUCGUCCUCGUCCUCGUCACCGAAACCAUGGACGGUCGACGGUCCCUGACCCAGCGGUCGAACCAGAGAUUGUAGGGGCGGUAGACGCCGACGUGGGGACCGUAAACUUGCAUUGGUGGUAGGCUCCAGAAGCAGGGGUUGGCGAGGCCGAUGCCGAUAGGGCCGGUGGGGAUGAGAGCGGGAGGAUAGGGAUAAUAAAGCGUAGGUGCGGAUGCAGGUACAAGUACAGAUACAGAUGCAGACGCAGAUAGAGAUGCAUAUGUAGGUGCAGGUGCACCUGCAGGUACAAGUACAGGUGUAAAUGCGGGUGCAGGUGUAAGUACAAAUGCAGGUGCAGAUGCAGUUCCGUUGUUCUGUGGCCUUGGUCUUGGCCUCAGCCUCUCUUCGUUCCUGUUCAUCGUGGCGCUUUUGUUUUCUUUUACUUGACAAAAAAAGAGAUUAAGAAAGAAAAGUUGGGCUUUCAGAUUAUGUAUGUAUAUAGGGUUAAAAUACUAGUCUAGAUCUAUCCUUCAAAAGUAUGUAUAUAUAUCCUUGUAAACUAGUAAUAUCUUAUAAAUAUAUUUAUAGAUCUUUUGGAUUUAAUUAGGUUUGUAGUUAUCUAAAUUGAUGUUAAAUACUAAUCUAAUUAGGAUAAAAUAUAAUUUAAACUAAUUUAGACUAUGCGGAGAAUAAAUAAGAGUCUAAUUCAAAUUAGACUUACAUAUGCAUAAUACGUAGGCUUAAUUUGGCAUUGAGGUCGAUCUAACGCUAUUAGAUAGAAUGGAGUUGACAAAAAGUAUAUAGGGAUAUGUUUCUACGUUUUUCGAUGGAACUGUAAAAAAUAUAUCGUAACCAACUAAUCACAAUAUGCGAAACGUAAUAUUACGUAUGAAAACAAAUAUGAUAUUUUUACGUACGGAAACAAACAGGAUAUUUUUCUAUCGUCUUUUCUCACCACACGUAACGCAAUCUCCCCGCAAUCUCAAACAAAGCCUUGGUGUUUGGAUGUAAUUGAAGCUUUUGUACUCCACCUGAAUAAAAAUUUUUGCACCAUCAACUUAUUUUUUGCUUUAACAAAUUUUAGUUAAGUUUUCAUUAAUUUCAAUUAAAUUUGGGUGAUUUCCCCUCUCUUUUCUCUCUUCGCUUUUUUUCUUUUUUUUUUUCUUUUACUCAUCUAAAAAAUCACUUUAUUUUUCGUAACCUUAGCGUUUGAUUGUAUAAUAACACAAUUUUUUAAAUAGCAAAGAUGUUAAAUCUUUACAAAUGAUUUUAAUUCUUCUCAAUGUAGAUCGAAUGGGAAAAAAAAAAAAAUAAUCUGUUAGGAGAUGAUCUUUUGAUUUGAAAUUAUUUUCUUUGGUUAGUCAGAUUGAAAGCUAAAUACUAUUUAAUAACUAUAUAUCGAUCCAAAGUUUAAAAAUCACUUAUAAAUUUUUCUAAAUUUUAAAUUAAUCUGCAUAUCCUUCUAAACUUAUAACACUAUGAAAAUACUCUUCCAAAUUCCAAUUAAUUUUUUGUUAAUUGCCAUUAAAUCUUUUUUAGCUUCCUCUCUUCUUCUUUUUCACUCUUUUUUUUCGCAAAUUAAAUCAGUUCCCUUUUCUUUUCAGAUAAGUUAAUUACUCUUUCAUAGAUUUGGCACUCAUUGUAUGAUCACAAUUUCUUAUUAUUAUUAUUACGGAGUUAUGUGAUCGCAAAAAAUUCUCUUUUUGAUUUAAAGUGAUUUGGAAUUUAAGGAAAAGAAUAUAUAUAUAUAUAUAUAUAUAUAUAUAUAUAUAAGUUGAGCUAGAAUACUAUCGGUAGUAAACGAGCCGUUUUACUACCGAUUUGUUUUCGAUGAUAGAGCUUCCAAAUUGACGAUCGGCUCCGUUAAAUAUGAUCUAAACCAUUUAAACUAUCUAGAAAUCAAAUUUCACGCACUUUCGAUAGUGUUCUUUUAUCCAUCAAAUGAACAGAAAAAUGAAUGGCUGAAAAUGAAUACUCUUUAAAAAAUGAUGAUAGGAGCCUUGUAAUCAAGAUCAAGAGUAUAGAUCUUGUUUUAAAUAGUUUAAUAAUUUUUUAGGUGUGGGUUAAAAAUUCAAAUGAUUGGGUAUCUUUGUAUGCGAAACGAAAAAGGCCAUAUGCCUGUUCGACCAUUAAAACUAUUACUCUAAGUUUAAAUGGAUGUAGAAUAUCCGAAAUUAUAUGAUAUUAUGUUUAACGGAGUUUAGAGAAUACGUGGUAGCGGGUACUAGUAUAUACUAGUGGAUAUCAUGGGGCUCACUAUUAUAUUAUCUUCAAAGUAUGUAUAUAAUUGAUAGAUAUCUUAUUACAAAAUGUUAUAGCUGAGUAGCCUUCUCUUCUCUCCUUCUCUCUCCCUCCUUAUAUAUAGUAUAGCGAGGCUACUAAUACUUUGGAAGUACGGAGCUUCCGAUGCUUUCAGGUCGUUGUGUUGAUGCUUGCGACUUUCAUAAGGGAUUCAUAUCUGAGCUCUGUUCAAUAACUGGGAUCUAGCAGUAUUUGACAGUAUCUAGAAAAUAAAUUUUAAUAAAUUUUCGAUAUCAUUUGCUGGGAAUCACACGGCCGCUCAGAAUCACACGGGGCUGAAAAUACAAAAUCAUACAAACAUAGAUAAUAUGACAGUAAAAAUUUUAGAUCAAAAAUAUUGAUCUGUUUUGAUAUAAUUUAAAUAAUUAUUUCUUUUAUAUCAAAAUUUCACAUCAUUAUGGAUAUUUCGUACACGUUAAACUUGCAAACUGGCUACACCCGACCAAUUAAAAUUAUUGAUUUGAGUCCUGCUCGACCACUAGACAAAAUGAUAUCGAAAAAUUCAAAAUUUUAUUUCCUAAGUACUUCAACAAUAUCUAGGAUCAAGUUUACGGAGCCGAUCAACGAUUGAAAGGUCCACAUCGAAAACGAGCUGGAAGCACGGAAGGCUCCGUUGCUUCCGAGAUAGCAUAGUAGCUCACUCUCUCUCUCUCUCUCUCUCUCUCUCUCCUCUCCUCUACUAUAAGUAUAUACUUAUAUAAGCGAGGCUACUUAUACUUCUGGAAGUACGAGCCUUCCGUGCUUUCAGGUCGUCUUUGAUGUUAGCGACUUUCAAAGCAUGGUCAAUCGGCUCUGUUAAACUGAACAUCUAGAGAUAUGUUGAAGUAUCUAGAAAAUAAAUGGGUUUAUAAAUUGUCGAUAUCAUAUUGACUAGGAACUAAGGAGCUCAAAAUCAACCGGGCGCGAGGGUCUGAAAUAAAAAUACAUACAAAACAUGUAAUAUUCAAACAAUUAAAUUUUAGUAUCAAAAUAUUGAUCUUGUUUUACUAUAAUUAAAAAUUUUCUAAUCAAAAUUUCAAUAAUUUGGAUAUUGCUUCUACAUCGUUAAACUGCAAAUGGUCACGCGACCAUUCAAAAUCUAUUGGAUUGAGUCCCUUACGACCACUAGACAAAUGGAUAUCCGAAAAUUACAAAAUUAUUUUUCUAAAGUACUUCAAAUACUCUAGAUCAAGUUACGAGCCGAUCAACGAUAUCAGAGAGAAGAUCGAAAAAAAACAUUCAAAAAACGAGCUGGAGGCGGAGGCUCCGCUGCUUGCCGCAUAGCCAUAAGUAGCCUCACUCUCGUCCUGCCUCUCUCUCUCUCUCUACUUUAAUAUAUAUAAUAAGAUAUAAGCCGAGGCUACUAUACUUCUGGAAGUAACGGAGCCUUCCCGGCUAAUGCUUUCAGUCGUUUUGAUGUUGCCGAGCUAUUCAAAUGGUCAAUCGCGCUUGUUAACUUGCAUCUAAGUAUUUGAAGUAUCUAGCAAAAUAAAUUUUAUUAAUUUGUCAGUAUCAUUUGCCUAGGGAACUCAAGAGGGCUCAAAAUCAACCGGCUGAAAAUAAAAAUCAUGACAACAACAUGAAAUAUGACAUUAAAAUUUUAGAUCACAAGAAUUGAAUCUUUUGCCCCGGUUUAUAUAGUUAAUAAUUUUGAAUCAAAAAUUUCACAAUUAAAUUUGGAUAAUAUUCCUACAUCGUUAAACUGGCAAAUGGCUCACCGCUGGCCAUUAAAUAUUGGAUUUUGAGUCCCUUCGACCACUGACAAAUGAUCAUCGAAAAAUUACAAAAACUUUAUUUCUAAUCUUCAGAAUUACUCUAGAUCAAGUUUAACCGGGGGGUGGCCGAUCAAUGAUUCGAAAGACCGGCAACAUCGAACGAAUUUAGAACGCCACGAGGCUCAUUAGUAUAAUAUAAUAUAGUAUAUAUAUAUAUAUACUAGCUGAAUGUACACCAUGCACAAUGCAGUAACAAAUUUAUUAUAAUUUAUUUUAAAUCAUAUAAAUGAUACAUUAUCAAUAAUAAUCCAAAAAUUUCUACAAUCAAUUAAUAUAUUAUAACAUGUAAUGUGAUUACAUUAUUAUUUAGAAAAUAAUUUUAAUAUGCCCGACCGUGGGGUUUUUAUUUAUAUCAUCGAACGAUUUUUAUAUUACCUUUUGAUUUUCGAUGAAAUCAAUUAAAUAUGUACUUUAAACUAAAAGCCAUCAAAAUUUAAUUCACAUUGUAUUUAAAAUUAUAAAAUUUAAUUUAUGAUCCACGUCAAUUAUAAAAAUUAAUUAUGUAAUUCAAAUUUGAUUAUCAAAAAAUUAAAUUUAAUUCAUAUUGUAAACUCAAAUUUAUUUUAUAUCUAAAUAGAUUAAUAGCAAUGCUAGUUUUUAACAAAUUGCAUCAUACGUUUGGUUUUAAUCUUGGAUAUUUUUUUAAUCACAUUGCAUUAUAAUAGGACUUGAAUUUACUAGAUGGAUGCGAAUGCUAUUUUUUAAUUGGAUGAUAUAUAACUGAUCUUAUUGAGAUAUUAUUUAACAAAUUGAUUCUUAACCAUUUAUAGAAAUUAGUUUUGAUAUGUAGUUUAGAAAUUAAUAGAAUUGAUCAUAACCGUCAUUUUUAUCUUGCACAUAUUUUUAACAAAUUAAUCAAUAAUCAUUCGAUGCCGAAUAUAUUUUAUAUUUAUAGAUUGGAUCAUAACGUAAUUUUCUUUUGAGAUAUUUUUAACAAAUUAAUUCAUAACCAUGCAUUAGGGAAUAUUAUUAUUCCUUUUGGAUUCGUCUGUCAUUGUCGAAUUGCUAAUACCUUUCCCUAUAUAAUAGUAUAACAUACUAUCCUAUACCCUAUAUAUAAAGCACUAUAUUCAAUGGGUCCUCAUGCCGACAGACCACUUUUCCGCCGCUAUCCGUACAAAAUUUUACAUAUAAUGAAUAAAAUAGACAUAAGAAACAGUAAUGAAUGUAAUUCUCGCCAUUAACAAUUACUGAUGUGAAAUCCUAAAAUAUAAAUUUUUCUAUUUAAUUUCAAAAGUAAGUUUUCUAUAACAGAUUACGGGUGUGAAAAUCCUAUAAAAGAUAUUUUUCUAUUUUAUUUUAAAAUAUCUUUUUUAGAUAUUAUCUAUUUAAUUUUAAAAUAUAUUUUCUUUUUAAGAUAACGGAUUUUAUUUUUCUAUUUAAUUUCAAAAAUUUAUUUCCUAAUAGAUUUUAUUUUUCUAUUUAAUUUCAAAAGUAAUUUUUGCAUUAGAGAUUAUUGUUAAUUAUUUAUCAUUUAAAGCAUAUCUUUCUUAAUAGCGUGAUUUAUUAUUUUAAAUCUUUUAGAUACAUAUUUGGCAAUCAUAUAAAAUAUGACCUAAAAUUAAAAAAUAAUUUAAAAAAAUUAUAACUUUUUCUAAUAAUUAUUACGUGCAUUUGCACGUACAUUUUACUAGUAUAUAUAUAUAUAUAUAUAUAUAUAUAUAUAUAUAUAUAUAAAAGCGUGAGUUUUAAAUUUUUUCCUGUUUUCAAAAAUACCUCUAUCUUUUCUACCAAUAUUUUCAUAUUCAGUAAUUUCAACCAUUCGUUUCAAAUAAUUUUUCAAAUAAUAAUUUAUUCUCAAAUAUAAAUCUUUAAGUUUUUACUAUUGGAUCUCAUCCAACGAUUAAAAAUAAAAGUAUCUGUCACUUUUCUUGACAAAAAUACCCUCAAUAUCCGUUAUCUUCUAUCUACGCAUUUUACAAAUAUGUACGUGUUUUUCCAAACGUAAUUUCCGUCAUAACGUAAAAUAUCUGUUAUCUUCUGUUUCUCAAAUAUUUUCUUUCUCACACGUAAUACGUGCGCCAAUCACGUAUAAUAUUGUUAGAAAGAUUUAAUACCUAUCUAAUUUUUAAAUUUUUUAGUAAAAUAUUCAAAAAUAAUAUCCACCAAAAUAUUUUAUGCGUUUCUUAAAUAUAGAGUAUAUAAUGCAAUCAGCAUAAAAUAUUGCUAGAAAGAUUUAAUACCCAUUUUAGGAAAACUAAAUGGUUAAUUAAAUAUAAUUUUAAAUUUUUAAAUUUGUUUAGUAAAAUAUUCAAAAAUAAUGCCCAUAAAAAUAUUUUAAGUUUCUUAAAUAUAAAGCAUAUUUUAAUGCACUCCCAUAUAAUAUCUACAUAUCUUUAUAUAUAAAUAUAAUAUCUAUAAUAUCUAAUCUUAUCUCAUCAUAAUAUUUAUUCAUACACAGAAAAUAUUUUUUUUGAGACAUAUUUUUUUAGUAAUAUCUUUUUUAUUUUCACCUAUAUUUUUUUAAAAUAUUUUUUUUAAUAAUAUCCUUUCUCCAUCGCUAGCACCAGUAUAUCGUAGCACAUCAUCAUCGUCGACACCAGCACAUUGUCACUUUUGCCAUCUUCAUUUGGAGAGGUAUUUUGAUCCCACCUGAAAAUUUUUUAUUUUUUUAAUGUAUUAUUUUUUUGGUAUUUUCUCAUUUUUAUGUAUAUAUUUAUCAAAUAUAAAACAUAUAUUUUUUUGGUAAUAUUCUUUUUCAUUUUCACCUAUAUUUUUCUUAAUUAUUCUCAAAUAUUUUUUUUAGUAAAUCAUUUCUCAUUUGUCACCAUUGCCGGCACCUGCACAUGGUCAUCGUCGUCCUCCUCCUCAUCAUCAUCAUCACCAGCACAUUGUCCCCUUUGUCACCUUCACUAUAGUUAUUUUGAUCCCACUGAAUUUUUUUAAUGUGUCUUUAUACUCUUAUAGUAUUUUUUUUUUAGUAUUUCCUUGUUUUUACCUAUGUAUAUUUUUUUAGUAAUAUUCUUUUAAAUAUUUUCUUUGUCGCAUAACUGCCAAUCCUUUCUUACAUAAUACGCACGUUUUUUCAAAUAUAAUGAAAUACAUAUAAAAAAUCCUUACAGUAUAAAUUAAUUAAAAAUAUGUAAAACUUAUCUAGAGAUAAAUUAAAGUUAGAAAAAAAAUAAUUAAAUGAUAGACAUACACCUCCAUUAACGAUUUAAAAUUUAAAAUGUAAAUAUAAAUUUAAUUUAGAAUUAGAUGUGACAUUUUGAAUUAAAAAUAAAUUAAAAUUUUGAUACUUUUAGAUUAAAAUAUAUAUCCAAUCUUCUAAAUCUCGUCAUACUUACCUAUCAUCUCUUUAUCAGAUAUCGAGCAUAUUUUGAUAUUUAACCUCCCAAUCUUCUUAUUCUUAUCCCAAUUUUAUAUAUACUUAUUAUUUUUCACACAUAAUACCCUCCACCUAUGCAUUUGUCACUACAUAAGUGACGCCGACACAUCGUUGUUGUCACCUUCACCGGCACAUCUUUAUCCUCCUUCUCACCGACACAACUUCGUUGUCACCUUUGCUAGCAUGACGUCGUCGUCUUCACACUGCAUGUAUAUCGACGGAAGUACACGAAUUAUGUCAGCGUUGUUUAUGGUCUACUGACAUGUCAUCGGUGGUCGAGAUACAUGCAUAUGCAAGUCAUUGGUGGUCAACAAUGUAUGCGUUGAUAAUUCAUAUACACAUCAAUCUAAAUACUCUUCAUCCUCAUAUAUCUAUUGCUAAUAUAUUUUUUUUAAAAAAAAAUUUUCUUUCUUUUCUAUUACUAAUAUAUAUUUUUUUAAUAAUUUAAUUUUUAGUUAGAUUUAUUAUUUUUAAAUUAAAGAUCUCAAAGUCUCAUCCCAAUUGUUUUUCUUUUAUUAUCUUUAAUUUCUUCCUAAACAAGUUUAAUAAUUAAAUUCAAAUUAUAUUUCAUUUUCUUUAGUUAACAUAUUUUAAUAAUAUAAUUUUUCUUUACAUAUAAUAUACUAACACUUUAUAUCAAAUUUUAAUACAUAAAUGCUAUAUUAAUUUUCUAUCAUCUGCACAUACCCAAUUUAUAUAAAAGUAUACCACACCUCUAAAAAGCUCACGAAUUUAAAUUAAAAUUCAAUUCAUAUUAUGUAAAAUUAAAAAAAAUUACAAAAUCCAUAAAUAUAACUAUGUUUCUAUGACAUUAUAUAUUUUGAGCAUCUAUUUAUCAAAUUAAUCAACUUUUUUUAUAUUGUUAAUUUUUAUGUUCAUUUAAUGCCUAGAUAUUAUGGUUUUAAAAAUUUAUAAAUUUUAAUGUAUAAUUUUUUAAAAACGAAUGUUAAAUAUUGAAUGUGGUGUAUAAAACAUGUACAUUGGGUACAGCAAAAACUUCUCAAAAUAUGAACAAUAUCUCAAUAGGAUUCAAAAUUCUCCCAAAAUUGUAUUAAUAUUUUUACGAUCUUCUUCAAAUCAAUUUGUGUGUGUGUGUGUGUGUGUGACAUUUUUACGAUCUUCUUCAAAUCAAUUUGUGUGUGUGUGUGUGUGUGUGUGUGUAUUAGGGUAUAAAAAAUGUUAAAAUCUUUGCCCAAAUUAAGCCCAAUUAAUUUGAACAGUAAUAAUUGGAGAAUAGUAUUACAGUUAGUCUAUAUUUCAAUUCCAUUAAUAACUUAAAAUUAAUAUAUAUUUUAGAGAAAAAUUAUUUGAUUUUUUCUUACGUGCAUUGCACGUGCAUAUGACUAGUAUAUAUAUAGAGUCCGGCUGUUAUACUAUUAGUAACACGGAGGCUUCCAUGCUACUAAGUUGUUUUCGAUGAUGCGGCUUCCAAAUCAACGAUCGGCUACCGAUUAAACGCAUGGCUUCCAAAUCUCAUCCAUGCGUUUUAACCAAGAAUAAUCAAUGUUCUGAGUCCAAGACAUUUAAAAAAAAACAAUUAUGUGGCAUGUAACACUUUAGUUCUCAAAAACAAUUAUGUGGUAUGUGACACUUCAGUUCUCAAACUUUAAUUUGCAGCAAUUUCUAGAUCGAAGUUUUAAAUUGUUGCGAUCAAAUUCCACAAUUUCAUUUAGUUGACUAAUUAUCGUAAUGUGUCAUUAAUCACAAUACUGUUAUAUUACUUUUAUAUUAGCGACACGCUAGUAUUUAGUAAAUUAAAUUGAGUUGCAAGAUUUGAUUACAAGAAUUUAAAAGUUUGAAUUAAAAAUUUACUGCAAAUUAAGAUUUGAGGACUAAAAUGUUAUGUGCCGCGUGGUUUCGGGACCAAAAGUGUGAUUUACCCUAAAAAAAACUUCUCCCUCACCCACAACUUUUAAAAAAAAAAGAAAAAACUGUAUAUAAAAACUAAAAAAAUCUUCAAAUAUCACCCAUCUGGUUUCACACUUUUUUUAUUUUAGUACCAUGUGGUCUCUCUCCAAGCCUUACAUAUGACUUUCAUAAAAUACGGCUUUUCUAUAUGUAUCUGUAAGAUCGAGUAUGAAAUUCUGUUUACUCACUUUAAAUUGAGUACUUAUUCUAGCGAUUUGUUCAUAGUUCCUGCCCUUCCAUCGAAAUAUUAAUCGGAAGCAAGAAGAAAGUACGAAUCAAUGAAAAGAAUACUUCGAAUAUGUUAGAAUUCAGAAAGUAAUUUAAUUGUACGAAAGAUAUUAUAUUAACAAUGUAGCUGCUGCAUUCUAGCUUUUUUUUUAGAUUAAUUUCAUACAAGUUCCUGCAAAUAUAGUGAAUGACAAAUAUAUCUCUACAAAGCUCAACUUUCAUAUAUUAUCCGUACAAAAGUCCUAAUGUUUUCUAAUAUAUCCCUGCCGUUUGAAUCUGUUAGAAAAAUUUAGUUAAUCACAGGUUAAAAUAUUUAAUCCUGAUUAAAUUUUGACAUUUUUAUCCCUCUUAAAUUAUACUAUUAUGAUUUUUGAAGAAACAUAUUUAUGAUAGUAAAAUUGAAAAUAUAAACAGUUCUCCAAUAGCUCUCUAACGGUAAUAAAUCAGAGAGAUAUAUUUAUAAAUAUCAGGAUUUUCAAAAAACAGUUAAACUUUAUAAAAAUAUAUUUAUUAUUUAUUAUAUUUACAGGAAUACGUAUAAAAUUAUUAUUUUUUUAUUUUCCAC
rnacentral:lncRNA from 1 species